UUUUUUUUUUUUUGGCUUAAAGUGAACUAAAAUAUUAAUAAUAAUAGUAAAUUAAUUACUUCUUUAAUUAAAAAAAUUUUAAAAAUUAAUAUAAAAAACUUAUCUUCUUCUUCAUCUUUCUCUUUUCUCCAGCAACCAUCGCACACCAACCCUCCUACUCCCCACUGCCAUCUCCUAUAUCCCUCCACCAUAUAAACCACCAUACCCACAUAUCCAAACAUCAAAACUUAUCAUCUAAAUCACCAUACCCAUUAUGGGUGGUUCAGUGCUAAAUGGAGGCAUUUAAGAUUGGGAUAGUUUUAUGGCAGUGGUCUUUGGAAAUGGUUAAUGGAGAAAUUGAAAUAUUCAAGUUGGCCUAGAUUGGUAAAUACAUAUUUUGGUAUUUGGCCAGCAAAGAAAUUUCCAAACAAGUCCAGGAACAUCAAGUUCCCACAUUCAUAUAUUAAUUUUCGCCAGAUUCAGACCCGUCGUUGAUGGACGCCAUGUUUUUAGGGGUGGACUAAGGGUUUGGGUUGAUGGUUUGUGCUGGGAAAGAGGGGGCAUGGUCAGAAUAAGGGGCUAAGAAAGGAGGAGGUCGUGGCAGGGUGGGUGACUGUGGAUGUCGGGGCUGGGCUUGGGAGAAGAGAGAGGAACAGAAAGAGAGGUCGGGGUGUCUUGAGAAGUUGUGUGGUGGGAGGGCAGUAGGGGUUGGUUGCUGGGUGGGUGAUGUUGGGUAGGGUUGGAGUGGUGGUGGUGAGGGUGGCUUUGGGUUAGGUGGUGGUUGUAGUCUGAUAGUGUGAAGCUAGGGGAAGGGGAGGGAACGACAUAGAGAGAGAGAGAGAGAUGGAGAAGAAGAGAUUUUUUUAAAUAUUAAUUUUUUUUCCAGUUUUUAUUUUUUUUUAUAUUAACAAGUAAUUACAUUAUUUAAUUAUUUUUAUUAAUAUUUUAGUCUACUUAAACAGAAAAAAUGGGGCAUACAUCUGACACAUCAUCACUUGUGGUAAAAAGACUAAAAUAGUCAUGUCACGUCAUUAAAAUUAACGGAGUUAUUAAUAAAGAUAACGGUAGGGGACAAACUAGAACACCAAACCUUGGUUAAGAAAGUUAAGUGAACCAUUUUAACUUUCAAGGAAUAAAGUGAAAUUUGAUCAAAAUUUUGGGAGGUACUACAGCAAAUAAGCCUUAAUAAAACACUAUGGCUUUUACAUAAUAAAGAAAAUAAUUUUUAGAAUUAAAUGAAAAGAAUUCAAUGCUUGUGACGAGUUUUGAGUGAGCUAAAAUAAAUGGCCAGGCCCCUUUUGUGAUGUCAGGGCGUGUGAAACACACGUCUUGUCCAUGGUAGGUGUAGGUGAUAUUGAUAAUAGUUAGUGAAGCGCACUGCAGACUGCAGUACUUUUCAUCUGUUGCCAUUUUUGUCGUCGUCAUCGUUUCCUAUUUUAUCGACUUCCGCAUUCGGAUUCCUCCCCUGCAAUUUCGAAUGCACAAACACACAAACACACAAACACAACGGACAGCUUUCUUUUUGGCACUUACAUCAGAAUUAGCAAUGCAAUUCUGCGAGGCUUUUGGCACUUACUUCAUCAACUCAUUUUAUGAUAUCUGUCCAAAGCAAAAAGCUUUCUUUUUUCAUGAAUCAUGAUCGAGCUCAGUUUCUCAAACCUCUCCACAUUUUUAUUCUACGAUUCACUUUCCAGCGAUUCCAAAGCGACGAGUCCUUGACUCCUUAUGGUAAGCCACCUUCAAAGUUUCAAGUUUUGUAUAUAUAUUUAUUCAAAUGUUAAAUUAUGUUUUUUUUUUCCUUCCCAUAUUUAUUUCAUGUGUUUCCUUCUUUUGUUUUGGUCUAAGUUCUUCACAUAUUAAUAUUUGGAUUGUAUCAAAUAAUUAUUAGUCCAGUAGUAUAUAUUUAUUUUUUUAUGUUAAAAAAUGUCUUAAGUUCGAGCCAUCUCUUUCUCUAUUGAUAAAAGAAGUUAUUCCGAUUGUGUGAUUUUCAAAAUUUAAUAAAUGAAAGAUUUGGGCCCUUUGCGGCUGUGCCUAGAGGAUAACUAUAUUUUUUGAGUUGUAAUUGAUGUACCCCUGGUGAAUUUGUAUUUUGGUCUUUUGUGGUCGAAUUAUGAUUGCAACUUCACUUGAUAAAAAAUAAAAGAUUUGGUUAUUUGUAUUGUUUUUAUAAUAGGAUUGGGUAUUUCUAUUGUUACUAUAAACGAAGAAACCAACAUUAUUCCUAUUUUUGUUUGUAUGACUUCGUCAUGUUUACAUAAUGUGUUUCUUUUGUUUAUGGUUAGAAUAGGGAAUGCUAUUCGGAUUCAGAUCUUCCAAAGAUAUGGUGAAUAGAAAAGUGGGAUGCUUGAAUUUCCUUACUGAUAAUUUGUACCAUGUUUGUGUUGUGCUGAUAAAUAAUUAUCUUCUAGAUUGAAAAACCCAAUUGACCAAAGACCAUUAAACAUUUGUAUGUUUCUCUUCUUCUCUAGAAAGCUCAGGUCAGCCAAAACCAGUCAGUAGUGGGUAAGGAUAGACCAGAAAGAUAUUUGUUGUACAUCCAAAUUACAAUGAUACAAUACCUAAACUCACCAACCCACCUCAUAGAGGACAAAUCCUUUUCCUUUCCUUGGUUGGUAAUCUAUGACAGACAAAUACCCUUUUUCAUCACCAACCAUUGAUCGUUCCCUUUUCUACUCAACCCCAUCAAUCAAAGUUUCCUUUAAAUAAAAAAAUAAAAUAAAAAUGGUUUCAAGGACGUUAGCAAUACGAAAUGAUGUAAUCAGACUUACUCUAUAUAAAAAUUCAAAUAAAAGGAUGGAGGACAAAAGUCAAACUAAAACGUUUAUCAGUUCAUCUUACUUGGAAAAUGCCUCGGUGUUUUUUAUAUUAGUGACAAGUUGGUGAACUUUUUGAAGUUUAUGUUGCGCCAAUUAUUUGGAAGGAUAUUGCCCCACCAACUACAAUGUCAAAAUGCCAAAGUUUCUGACUUAUAACUUUGAAUCUAAUUUCAGAAAACAUUUUCUGCGUUUUCUUAAUUUUACCAUCUAACGCAAAUUACAGGCGUAUUCAAAAAAUGAAAACUAAAAACGGCCUCCAAAAACACCACCAAAUGAGCUCUAAUUUUUCAUUUCAUCCUUUCAUUUUUUGCAGAAAGUUUAUCUGGGCUAAUAAUUUGGGCCAUGUUAUUUCUGUCUUUCCAUAAAUUUUAUCACACAGGAGUCAUUGUUGAAGGCUGGCCUGAGAGUUUAUCUGGGCGUUGCUGUAUACUACCACAGUUUGCAAAAGAUUAUGGGCCCUAAAAAUUAAAAAAAAAAACAAUGAUAAUUAUAUUCAUUUGUAAGAUUACUAAAAUGGUACCAAAAAAAAAAAGAUGAGGAAUGGGCAAAAAUUCGACCAAACGAAAUCAAUGAUCAUGCUAUCAUUUUGUCUUUUGCAUUUCCUUAUUUGUUUUUACUUUUUGCAUGAGAGUCAUAUAUUAUUAACUGUUGGCGUAUGCUUGGUAUCGAAUAUGAAAUUGAUCGGAAAUUUAUUUGUCAUUUCAAUCCUUUUGUUGGGUUAGAGAGCAGCGGAAGUAGGAAUUCAGAUUGCUGAAUAUUCUUUCUUUGACUGAUAAGAGAGACUCAUUACAAUGAUACUUUUGGCUGCAAUUCUGCUUUUGUUUUUCGGCGCUUAAAGUCAAAUACAAAUGCUCAUAUUUAAGCAAGAUAUAGAACUCACUAGAAUAAAAAUGGAAUGCCAACUGCCAGUUACUAUCCAUGGUCUUAAACAUACAUUAACAUAGCAGACUUUUUUAGAAAUUAUAAAGUAAAGUGCGUAAGAUAAAUAACGUAAAGUAAAGUGUGUAAGAUAAAUAACGUAAAGAGGAGAAUUAAAGUACGAUAAAAUAAAUCAAAGCGAUAAAUAAACAAGAACGAAAUAAGAACGAUAAGAAUGGUAAACUAAAUUAAACUUGAAUUUAAACUUAAUGAAAAUUCAAUAACAAUAAAAAUGAAAGCGAUUAAAAUAAGCUUGAAUUUAAAUAACAAGAUAAUGUAAAUUGCAAGAAUUUAAACUUACACUAAGGAAAGGAAGAACUUGCUACACUAAGUGAUUGAAAAGUAAAAUCCAAAGUCUAAAAAAAGAAAAGUGUAAGAUGAAAAAUAGGUUUGUGUGUCUGAUGUUCAGUCUUACUUCCAUUCUGCCCUUUGGGCUACGUGGGCCAUAAUUUUCAGUCGGACUAGUUAUCAUACUCCUAGGUCUGCACACUUGGGCUUGAUCCUUGACUUGCUCCUUAACCAACCCCUUGGUUGGUUCCUUAGUUAGCUCUUUGGCUUUUGGCUGAACCAACUCGAGAGUUACCUCGCAUUGGCAUAGGUUCUUCCUUGGUUGGAAUUUUCGUCUCGAGAACCUUGGUCACCUCUGGGUACAUCUUGGCCUUGCCUUUUGCCUUAGGGUCUACCUGAAUCUCCCUUGCCCUUCUUUCCGCCGCAGCCUUUGCGGAGCCACCUAAGUCCAACCUUGGCUUAGGUUGGUCUGGCCUUGGGAAGUUGGCAUUCACCAUAUUGAUUUGAGCAUUGGGAAAAGGAUUCUGGUCGACGCCCGUUAUAGCUUUUUACAGAAAUUUCAAGAUCUUCUGAUCGAUGAGAUCUGCCUUUUGGGAGGUUCCAUUAAAUUUCAAGAUCAAUUGGUGGAUAAUGAUCUAUGUGUAUGAAAUUACAAAAAAACCUCUACCAUGUCAUCAUAGUUAAUAGACUUUUGGAUGGAAUUGAAGGCAGAAGGCAAAAUAGGUCACCAAACCACGGUCAAGUGGAGUAAGUGAGCCACUUUAAGUUUGAGGGGGUAAUAUGAGAUUUGACAGUAGUUUCAAAGAGUAUUAGUGUGAAGAAACCUUGUUUUAUAUUAGUGAUAAGUUGGUGCACUUUUUGAAGUUGAUGUUGCGCCGAUUGUUUGGAAGACAUUGCCACCAACUACAAUUUCAAGAUGCCAAAGUGAAAACAUCAUUUUAACAUUUUCUGACAUAUAACUAAAACUUUGAAUCUGUUUUCAGUAUAAAAAAAAAAUCUGUAUUUUCUCACCCUCACCACCGAACGCAAAUUACAAGCAUGUUCUGAGAAUAAAAACUGAAAACGGCCCCCGAAAACACCACCAAACGGUCCUAAUUUUUCCUUUUAUCCUAUUAUUUUUGGAAGAAAGUUUAUCUGGACUAAUAAUUUGGGCCAUUUUAUGUAUGUCGUUCCAUAAAUCAUAUCACACAAUUGUUGAAAGGCUGGCCUGAGAGUUUAUCUGGGCUUUGCUAGAUUCUACCACACUACGCAAAAGAUUAUGGGCUCCAAAAACAACAGUGAUAAUUAUAUUCAUUUUGUAAGAUUACUACAAUAAAAACAUGCGGAAUGGGCAAAAUUCCGAGCAAACCAAAGCAAUGAUCAUGCUGUCUUUUUGUCUUUUGCCUCUCUUGAAUCCAUCCAGUAGAUGUUAUGACAUAUACAAUACAUACGAUAUUUAUUAACAUAUAGCUAGGGAAUUACAAAAUAUUUAGGUGUUUUAGAAUGAACAUAUUAUGAAUGAGUCUACAACUUGUUCUGCAUAUACGUACUUUGAGACAAAAGCAGUGUCAUUGUGACCUCUAAAUGUGACAAACCCUAAUUCAACAAAACAUCCAUACCCCGAACAUAAUCCAGCAUAGCUAAAGAACAGCCAAUGGCAUAGAACGAUCGAAGCUCCCACGAAGAGCCCUAGCUCGACUCGAUUUCUUCUUCAUCCCUCCCUUGAGAUCCUCCUCUAGACCCAUAGACUUCUUCCCAAAUGCAACUGAAGCCUGUGACAGGAGAUGUGCCAUAUUAUUGUCUUUUGUGGCUCCUCCAUGAACAAGUAUCCUUGUAAUCCCAACAUAGUGCAAGGACUCAGCAAUCUGCAGUGCAGUCACACCUUUAUUAGUUCGAGCCUCAGCAUCAGCUCCUUUCUUCACCAACAACUCUAUCACAUCUGCAUGCCCCGACUCCGCUGCGCAGUGCAAGGCCGUGUAUCCAUCCUCAUCUUUAGCAUCCACAUCCACGCCCUUCUCGAGCAGUGUUCUAACCGCAUCGAUUUUCCCUUUGAAACAAGCUCUGUGCAAAGCUGUCCACCCAUGUUGGUCUCUUCCAUUGAUGGCUGCGCCUGUCUCAAGCAGCCUGACAAUUGUUCUCACCUCACCCUUCCUCGCAGCGAUACACAAGCUAUCGCCAAGUCGAAGCAAAUCAAACAGCCUUGUGUGCCCGUUCUCCGAUGCAACAUCAUAUGCUGUUCGGCCUGCAAAGUUUCUAAUGUCUUUAUUAGCACCCUUUUGCAGCAACAGCUUCACCAUGUACUCGUCCCCCAACCCGGCAGCUAUGUGUAAAGGAGUAUCGCCGUCUCUGCUGUCACGAACUUCAGCUUUUGCCCCACUCGCCAUUAAGAGCCUGGCACAAUCCCUUUUUCGCUUCUCAACUGCAAGGUGUAAAGCCGUGCUACCGUCCUUUGUCACUGCAUCAACAUUAGCUCUUUUGAUUAUAAGAAGCCUAAGAACCUCCACGUGCCCACCUGCUGCCGCUAGGUGAACGGGACCCCAAGUAGAGGACUCGGAUCUUUCAGUGCUUGCACGCCGGGCCAAUAGAAGCUCCACGAUCAAGGCCUCCCCGCAUGAAGCGGCGGCUUCAAGUGGGCUAGACCCUGACCGGCUCUGAGCCUCUACAUCAGGCUCGAACUCGAGAAGUAGCUGGACAAGGUCAGGCCGGCCUUGACUAAUAGCCAAGUGAAGCAAAGAUUGACCCUCUGAAUCCACCGAGUCGGCUGCUUUCCAAGAAGGAUCACUCUUCUCAAGAACUUCCCGAAUAUCAUCCAUCAAACCAUCUGCCACAAGUUGUGCCAAAAUAGGUGAACCAACAAACAUAAUCUUCACACCACUAUCUAUGAACACUUGCUUCUUCUUAGUGGUGAACCAGUCAUUUGGAACGGCAUCAAACGUGGACGAAGAGUCUUUGAUGGCUGCUCCGGGCACAACCACGCUAUGCAAAAGAAAAGAGUCAUGGCAAUAAGGGAAUGAGUCAGGGAGGCUUGACCCUGGUGGAAGAUGAUACACAAUUUCUAUGGUCAAUUUCUCUAGGGGAGAUAUGAUCCCGGAUUGGGGCUUCACCGUGUAGCGAUUCUUGAUGAGCGCUUGAAGCCUGAAGGCCACCGGCAUGGUGUACAUAACGUUGCGCAAAGUAAGCUGGCCGUAGCAUUUCUGUCCCGGUUCGAUCCUUAUUGCAACGAAAUUUGAUGGCUCCAAACUUAUGAGCCUGUCCAUAUCUUGAUUGAUUUUUCAGUUUGGAUACAAACUUAAACUAAUGGGUAAAAUUUCUGGGGUUGAAACAGUUAGGAGGUAGACAAGAAAAACCAUGAAAAAAAAUGAGGCAGGGAGAUUGAGAAAUAUGGAAGGAAGUGAAGGUGGAAAGUUUGGAGUUUAAGAGAAGGCAGGGAACGCCAAGGCCGGCUUUGGUGAGAUUGUGCCAAGUGGGGGGUGUUAAAAACAAUGCUGACUUGUUCUAUUCGGCGUCUCUAAGGAUAUCUUCUCUUCUGUAUAACUCCUAAGAUCACAGUUGUUGUUUUGGAGGGGACAAAAAGUUACUUUCACUCUUGCAUUAUAUUAUGCACAUAAAUUCAUUUUUAUAGUUGCUAAUCUAUUUAAUUAGCUUCUAACAAGGCUUACGUCAAUUGGCUAGCAAAGUGGGAUCAAUAAAGAAGCCAAAAAGAUGCUCCAUCUCAUUGAAAAUUCCUAGAAGCAGAAACUAAUUCUACAACAAGAUGUUCUGCAUAUAGAAGGAGCUUCAGUUGAGGGAUUCCUUAUUUGAGGGACAUCCUUGUAGGGCCCAUUCCGUAUUGUAUUUCACAAAUCUAAACUAUCUAUUUUGCAUAUACUCAUUCAAAUAUCAUUUCUACAAAAAAUCACUUGAAUCCGAUAUCAUUUAACCACUUAAUUAAAUUAUUGAAAAUUUAAAACCCGUAUGUGAACAUAUAUGAGUUUAAUUGCGAAGUAAUUAUAAAGAAUUGGUUGUGGGCAGCGACUAAAUCCUAGUAUCAUUUACUUGCCGAAUUAACUACUAACAAUGCCAUGUUCAAACAGGCACUAUGAACAUUUUUUAUCAGAUUUUGUUUCAUUUGUGUGUUGGCAAGACAAUUAGGCCCAACAACAUGUAGCUAAAGUUUGCCACGUGGCGUCAUUUCGUUUGUGAGCGUUAAGCUAGGUUUAUGUGAUUUGCUGUAUUUAAAUCUGCACCCUUGUCUUUGCAUCUUCCAAUUACAUAACCUGACCCCUUCUUUGAUUGCGAUGUUGCAACUUUGCAGCACACAAGCCAACUCUACUGACUUAUUUACCCGGAAAGAGAAAACUGCUAAAGGGUCAUUGAUUAGAUCACUCUUGCUAUUGCAAUCAGACUUGAAACUAUUGAAUAGUCAAAUAUCCAUUUGCAAUAUUAUUAGAGCUGUCAAUGGAUCUAAUUUUGAUCCGAAUCCGAUGCAAUUAAGAGUAUUUUUACCCAUUUUUCAUGGCAGAGGGUUAUGGUUGUUACUAUUCACAUGAAUAGUGUCAUCUCUUGCAGAAGGCAAAGUGUGUUUCCAUUCAUUGUCAUGGUAAAUGGCAAUUACUAUUCACUUUUUAAAAAAAAAUUAAAUUUUUUUUUUAUACAUAAACGAUUAAUUUUAAUAUAGUUUAGGGUUUUGGUGUGGGAAGUUAGGAAUAUGGAUAGGUAUUUAUAAAUAAUAAAUAAAAAAUAAACUGAAUUUUUUUGUUUUUUUUUUCAAUUAUCUAUAUAUAUAAAGCAAAAGGCAGAGAAUGGUGAAACAUUCAAAAUACCAAAAAAUCCCCUUGGUUAAUGCAAACAUUAAGAAUUGAAAUUAUUAAUUAAAUGAGGAUAAUGUAGUAAAUUCACACUUUUCAUAUUAAAAAAAAAUUAAAAUUAAAAUCAGAUAAUUGAUCCUAUUUUUAUGGAACACAACUACUCAUUAUUUUUUUAAUUCUAAAAUAAAUUUAAAUUUUAUAUAAAAAAAAAAGCCUCUCGCAAGCGCGGAAGCGCGUGCUGAGAGGCUAGUUAUUAUUAUUUCAAUUGAAAAAUAUUAGGGAGAUCACAUUGUGUACUACCCUUUCUAAUAGAAAUAAGGUGUACUUGUAUUGGUGAAGCCUAACUCUAUUAGACCAUCUUUGGUGCAAACAAGCCAGACUCAAAAUUUAGAAUUUCGAGUCCAAAAUACCCCCAAUGUUAGGGAGAUCAUAUUAAUAUGGGUGAAUUAUUAUUAUUAUUAUUAUUUUGUUCUUUUUUGUUUUUUGAAUUCAAAACCAAUGGAAACCCUAAAUCUAACUCCCCAUGUUUUAUAACAGCGGUUUCAACAAAAGAGAUAUCAUGGGCUCAAAUUUAAUCCGAUGACCAAAAUAAUAAUAUUUAAUUAAUCUAAAUUUGAUGCAAUCCAAGUUCUUCCCAAGCACUAUAAAUACACAUACAUACAUGGUUAAAUAAUCCAUCAAAAAUACAAUUAAUAAUGACGUGGACUCUAAUUUUGAGUCUGUAGAGUUGGGGAUAAAAUUGUUUGAGACAGUUGUAUACAUAAAAAGUUGUAUUUUGGAGAUGGAAAAAUUUGAGUUUGAGUCCAAACGCAUUAUAUAUGGUCUUAGUCUCAGAAAGAUGAUACAUUAAUAUGGUCCCUCUAGCAUUACUCAUUUCAAUUUUAGUCAAUUAAAGCUCACUUCCAUGUGUUGAACUCUUCAUUUCUUACAUUUUUAGCAUGCUUGAAGAAUACAGGAGUCAUGAAAAAUUAAAUAAGUGGACUACAUAAAAAUAUCACCCAUGAAAUAACAUUUUUAUUAACCUAUAUGUGACCUCUGAGGCUCUGUAACUUGAACAACUCUCUUCUUCCCCUUCAAGUUCUUUUAUUAUUAUUUUUUCUUUGCUGGCAAUUCAUAUUUUUUAUUAUUAUUUAAAAUUCAAUACCACAUGUCGGAGGAACAAUAGAAAAUAUGAAUUUAAAUUAGAAUAAUUCUCAUAAAAAAUUAUCACAAUAAAAAAUUAUCAUAAAUUCACAUAAAAUUAAUGUAAAUCAACAAACACAAAUUAGUUCAACUAGGUUUUUUUUUGUUUUUUUAAAGAUAAUGAAAGUGUAACACUCUUUCACAAGAAUAAAUUUGAUGUUCUGCUAUUGGCAUUGCUUUACUUAAGAAUGACUUGUGGGAGCUUGAGUGUUCAAUUGUUGACGAAUGUUUUAAUGUUUUAUCACAUUGGUUUGAAAAGAAUGCUCUCUAAUGAAAAAUCCUCAAUGUUUUGACAUAAAAAAUUGGGGCAUAUCUCUAAAGAAAGAAUUAUGUUAACAAAAGAAAACAUGCUGUCGAACCUUGGCUUUAGGGAAAUCACAUUAUCGUGAUACAUUAUGUAUCAGCCUUUUUUGUUUUUUGUUUUUGUUUUGUUUUUUAAUAGAAGUGGGGUCUACGUGUAUUAGUGAAGCCUACCUCUAUUAGACCAUCUCCAGUGCAAGCAAGCAAGACUCAAAAUUUGAAAUUUCGGGUCCAAAAUACCCCAAUGCCCAUAAAGGGCCAUGCCAUUUAAUCAACUUAUUAUAUUUUCAUUUAACACCUUCAAAACAAUGGUUAUAUUUUUUAUUAUUUAGGAGAAAAUGUGGGCUUUGUGUUAGUGAUGACAUUAAGUUCGAUUAGGGUAUAGUAUACUAAUCAACAUUGGAUAUGUCAUACAACAAUGUAUGGAAGAAAGACUAAUUAUUGGUUGUUGCAAUUGAUUUGUUUGUUUACACAUUGAUGUUGAUUCUGUUGAUCCCAAUUGUCAACAUGCCCAAAAGAUAAUUAAAAGAGCAAUAAAAUAGAAACCCAAUUACUAUAUCAAAUGAAGACAAUUUUUGCUUAAUAUAUAUAUAUAUAUAUAUAUAUAUACACUCUUUCAAUCAUUUGGUUGGAGCAUCAUGCUUCCGAUAACAUGAAGUCUCAACAGUACUUUAAGUUAUUGAAGUCUCCAUCUCUGUGAUGUAAUUUUCCUUCUUUUAUCAUUGAAAAUUUACUUAAAUUGUAAACAAUUAAUAUUCCGUUCUAUGUGGUUUAAAUUCAAUUCAACAUCCCGUCCCAAAAAUUCAUUUUUUGUUUCUGAAUUUCUAUGUGAAAGUACAAUUUUGUCUUUGGAAGUAAGGGACGAGUUUUGGUUCCCAUACCAUUUUGCAUUUCCGUCAAUAUUUGUUCAAGAUGAGUUUUAAUAAACUUCUUCACAUCCUUUUCAUAGAGCUUGCUCUUAUGAGUUUGUAGACACUUAUUACAUGUGAAUUAGAGCUUUAACGAGGAUGUUAUAGUCAAAGGAAGUCCAAAGUAAUUUCUGACAGUCCAAAGUGUUCACCUGUUUUGUUUUUCCUCCUGUGAUGGAAGGGCAAAGUUCCCCAUUGCCUUGAAAAUCAUUGAUUGGUCAACAAGCCAACUUUCUUUGGUGUGCGAGCGUGCCACUGCUAGCAAUAAAAAAUCCUAACAGAUUUCUUUGAAACAGAUAACUUGCGCCCCAAGUUACUGAUUUCUAAACAAGCGAUUGUGAAUUUGGGUGAGGAAUAUCUCCCAAGUAAGUUCUUUUCCUGCCUCAGACUGGUGAGGACUUCAUAAUUUAUCAUAGUAUAAAAUUGGUAGUUCUGGCUAGAAUAGAUGAUAAUAAAGUUGACUGUUUUAGGCAGAACUCCCUUUUACAAAAUUAAGAAGGGAGAAAUCAACUCUAGAAAGACAAAAAGAUGGCUGGAAUCCCAUUUCUGCCUAGGUAGAAACUUCUGAUCCGGGCUGGACUGAGUAUGUCUGUGCUGGACUGAGCUGUUAACAACUUCAACUGCUUAGCUUCAGCUGUAAAUCAAUACCAAAGUUCAAUUUUGGCAGAGCUUUAAUCUACUUCAAGCCUUGGGAGGCUUUUGAGUAGGCAGAACUACGGCUUCUUCAGUUCGAGGGGAAAGAAGUGGCUGGACUUGAGGACUUAAUAAGCUGGAACUGCACUGUAAAAUUUGUUAAGGUUUUCAUAUUUGUGAAAACUCAAACUCUGCUUGUCUUGGCUUUUGCUGAACCAAAUUUGUAACGAGAGAAGUCUCGUUUUGAAUGACUUAUUUUCUCUAAGUCUGAACUUUGGAAGUUCUGAUCUAUAGUUGGCUUCUUUUGUGGCUCAAAUGAGCUUUUGGUUGCUCCAGUUUGUUUGAAGGUUCUUAGUGAUCAAGUGAUCAUUCUGAGUUUUUUUUUCUUUGGUUGAUUUUUGAUUGUUUGAUUGAUUGUUGAAUUUUUUGUGUGUGUCUUUUGCCCUGUUCAUCCCCUCUCAUAUUUAUAAGAAAUGCUUUGGAGAAGGGUUUCUUUCUUUUAAUAAUGGGCGGCAAAAUUCUCAAAAGAUCUUUCUUUUUUAAAUACAAAGAAGAAGAGGUUUUUAUCAAUUCUGGCAGAUAGGUCUCAAUAGUCGGUUCUUUUAAGACCAAUCACUUCUCUGUUUUUUUGAAAGAGAACCUAACCCCUCUUUAAUUCCAACUGCCCCUUUGUGAGAGCUCAAACCGUGAUGUUUAGUUUGCUUUUUCAGUUUGAACAACUCCUUGUUCUCCUGCUUAUCUCUUUUUGAGAACUUAGCCUGCGUAUAUCUUGAAAGAUGGUGCCUUCUUUGGAGUAGAAACAAUAUAUCUGAAUAUAUAAAAGGGUUUUGAUCUUCUGGUGGCAGAGAUUUCAGAGACGUCCCUUCUUUUUGCCUGCCUCUGUCAACUCUUUAUCAACCCGGUUGAAAUUGUUGACUUUCCUAAAUAAGAGAAAAAGAUUCACGUGAGUCUGUUUUCUUUUGGGCUCCUUCUCUUUUAAUCAUGCUCAAGCCCUUUUGAUUUUUCUAGAGCCAUGGGCUGCUUGCUUUUUUUUCUUUUUUGAGGCCCAAGUUUAUUCGUAGAGUCUAGAGUGCUUGGGCCCUGUGGUUUGCCUUGUUGUUUUUGGUCUUUUUGGGCUGGGUGUGCCAAAUUAGGCCCAAACACAAAAUAAAAUCAAAAGAAAAAAAAAAAGAAAAAAGCUUUAUAAAAUUUAUAAUUAAAAAAAAAAACCUAGCCCCUUCCCUAUAGACCCAUCCCACCACCUGACCAAGACCUUCGCAGGGGUGGGUGCGGUCCGGUUUGGUCCGGCUCGCAGCUCACACUAGAAUCGAAACUGGUACUAUUCAUCCGAUCCGGUUCGGUCUGAUUUUUGAAAAAAAACAAGAGAGAAACCGGAUUAAGCCUAACUGAUUAUUUUCGGUCCGAUUUUUUGGUUUGAACCGGUUCUCUAGCAAGUCACAGUAGACAAUAAGGAAAAAAAAACAUAAAUUUAGUUAAACAAUUCUUACUUUUCUGCUAAUGUUGUAAAGUCAAGGAUGGAUCCCAAAAUGGUAGAGCCCACUACCUAAUUGAUUGAAGAACAUCAUGAUGAAAGUACUGUGGGAAGGCAUCAUUACACAUUCACGGGAAGCCAAGAAACUUUGCCUAUAAGUGGACUUCCUCCCUUCAUUGUAAUUGACUGAGAACAAACAUUCAAUGAAGAGAUCAGUUUCUAUACUUUCUCUAUAUCUCAAUUCCCUCUCUACAAUUUUCUCUAGAUUUAUAACACGUUAUCAGCACGAAUAUCUCUAAAAUACCAGCUGGGAUAUUCGAUCAAAGUACUUUGCUCCAUUGUUUCCUUUCUUGGGUUUGGUUGAGUUGCUCAUACUCUUCUGUGUAUCAAUAUAGCUUAUGUGAAGCUUUGUUCCCACUGUCUCAGAUUUUUGUUUCUCUCUCUCUGUCUUUAACACUUCCAGCCCCAAUAAUGGAAGCUUUUCUGGCUAAGCUCUUUUGGCAUCACUUCGAUCAAGGCUACCCAUGCAGAGCUCCAAAUAGUCCAAAACCCACUACUACAACAACCCACUUUACUAGAGAGAGAAAUUAUGCAAUUGAUGCCCUUCUUGCUCCAUAAUUUCCAGCGCCUUGGCCUCUGCAAAGUUCAUGAAUGACAACAAGUAGUACUGACGGGAAAAAGAAGAUGCGGGUGCCUUUGCUUGGGCUUUGAUUGCAAAAUUGGUCAAUAAAAAAAGAAACAACACCGAAAGGGGGCACAGCUUUGGGUCCUGAAGAUUAUUGGUACCUUUUGUUCUCGUCCACACAGCUUUCUCAGGGAAGUGCUAAAGCAAAGCUCUCUGCCUCCUUAUUCUUUCAAUUAUUUCAUUAUUAUCCUACACUAUUUAACAUCAAUAAUAGUACAGGUGUGCUGGUUACAAGUGGAAAGGCAGAGCAAGCGUGAUAUUUAUCUAUCAUGCACUAGUUUCCUUCGCUUGCCUAUUAUAUAUAGUAAUUCUAUGGACGGUUUCACCUCUUAUAUUUUUUGUGGUGGUUUUAUCCCCAUAUUUAUUUUAUUUACUGUAUAGUGUAGGUUUAUUACCCAUACAACAGUAUCUAUUUAAAAGGAUAGCGCGGGUUUAUCGUCCACGCCUUUAUUUUUAUGUAUGGAGCAGAUUUAUUAUCCAUACAACAGUAUCUAUUUAAAAGGGUGGCGCAGGUUUAUCGUCCACGCCUUUAUUUUUAUGUAUGGAGCAGAAUUAUUGCCCAUACAACAGUAUCUAUUUAAAAGGGUGGCGCGGGUUUAUCGUCCAUGCCUUUACUUUUAUUUAAAUGUAUGGAGCAAAAUUAGUGCCCAUACAAGCAUGUUUACUUUACCGCAAAUUUACUUUUACUUAAAGUAUGAUGUGGAAUUAACCCUCAUACUUUAUGAAUUUAUUUUACUGCACAUUUACAUUUAUUUAAAGUAUGGUGAGGGUUUAUCGUCCAUAACAGUAAUUUAUUUAAAAGCAAUUUAUUUUAUGGAUUAAUUGUGUGGUAUGAUGAGUUUUUUCAGUAUACAGAUCAGGACCAGAAGUUCCUUGAUCCUCAUCAUACAAUUACAUCAGGACUUGAAGAUCCUUGAUGAUGAUAUUGAUAUGAGAGCUGGCAGUCUCUCCGGUACUAUAUUUAUAAACAUGUAAUUGGACUUGAGGGUCCUUGAUCCCUGACAUGUAAAUAAGGACCUGGGGUUCCUUAAUGAUGUAACAGUACCGUAUUGGUUAAUAGUGCCGUACACAUGGAUAAUAAUUGUACUGGCAAGUGUACUGUACACAUGAAUAGAUACGUAUUCAUGACUUGAUGAAUAGUACCGGAUAUAUGAAUAGUGACGUAUACAUAAAUAUUAACCAUUUUGGGUAAACCGUCACUAUAUACAAAAGGGAACCGGCAACUCCUUAAACUCAUGGAUGAGCAAUUAAAUGAGAUGCCAGAAGUUCCUCAAAAUAUGGACAAUUAUGUUAGGGCUUGAAGUCCCGAAAUAUGUACAGAAAAUUGUAAAAAUGUCCAUACCAUGAGAAUAUGUGAUUUUGGCCUGAGGUUCAAAAUCUAACAGUGUUGAGAACCUAAAGUUCCAACAAUUAAAUGGACAACCCUUGAGGUGUUAUUGCAAAUUGUUGUACGCCACAUAUUUCUUUGGCAUAAGAGAAUGAUGAAUUUAAUAAAGUUCGAUUAUGUUAUAAUCGACACCUCAAGGAAGAAAUAUAUUUUGUGAAUUCCGAUUGUUCAGAAUACACCGUGAAUUGGAUAAUAUCAGUAUAAACCUCAAAUGAUGAAUAGAGGCUUCCCACAUAUUUUGUUAUAUCUGGGCCGGAAGCCCAUGGACCCAAAUAUAUGAGAGAUCCUGAACUUGAAGUUGUGGGUAUAUAGUAGUUAAUGCUCUUCACUACUAUAUUGCGAUAUUAGCAUGGCUUUUACUCAAUCCGUAUUUCACGUCCAUUUGAAAAAGGCGAAUAAAUUCUGAGUUUGUGUUUAGCCCGGGCCAGAAGUUACCGGCUCACAUGCGUUGAAAUAUGAAAUUUGGGAGAGUCGAUGUGGUUAUUUGAACCUAUAAGGCACAAGGUUCCAAACCGUCAUUUUGAAAAGACGUAAAAACUACAGGUGCAAGUUUAAGAACGUGCGCAAUUAUUAUAACAGGAAAGGAGCCUACAACAUAUAGAUUUUUUCCACCUGUAAUGAAGGUGUAGGCCCUUAAAAUCUAUAAAAUUAUAUUAUGUUCUGGAAGCCUCUGAAGGAAGAGGACGGCGCCUCUUAAGCUUAGCCAUAAGCCUCUCGUGGUCUCCCAAAAUUCUUUCAUUGGAGACCUGCAGCAUGUCUAGCCUUCUCAGUGUAUCAACGGAGUACGAACUCACCAGUUUCAACGAGGCAUUAUUCUCUCCUUUAAGUUUCUCAACCUCCUGUUGAGACUCAUGAAGCAUUCUUUGAAGAGACGAAUUUUCAGUUGUUAGCUUCUGAACCUCGUUUGCUUUGGCACGCAAACGAUCAGCCAUGUUAGAAACAGAAGCAGCACUCUGAAUGCUAGAAGCCAUUGAGUCAUCAAUAGCCUCUUCCUCAAACCUUCCUGUUAACAGUAUUUCAUCCAUUGGAGUAAUGAAAUUCCUAGCUACUAUGACAGCAGUAGCAUCAUUCAUCAUCACAGAAUCAUUAACUGUGAGAUGACGAUUUUGGGAUACAAAGGAUGGAAGCCAAAUUUUGGCGUCACUGGUUGUUGUGGGAGCAUCAUUUAAACUGAAAUAAUUUGGGCAGGAAGAAGAGGAAGCCAUUUUAAGAAGGUUUCGAAGAAAGUCUUAGAAAAACUAAAGUUUCAUAAAAUGAAGGAAGUUGAGUUGAAAUGCAGUUGCUCCAAUCAAGUUUUGUAGAGGCAAUAUCUAUAGACGGAAAUGUAGCAAUGUUUCCAGGAUCCCAAUAUCUUCUCGGAUCCCCAUAUUCUCUUUUUCUUUCCCAGAUUCCAAAACUUCACGCGGCCUGUAAUAAUGUUUGUCAGCACUUUCGGCAUUUUCAAGUAUUAUUUUCGUCAAAGCUGAUCUUGCUUUGCGGAUUUCACGGAGCUAUUUUUUCAAAAGCACCCCAAGAAUCUCGCAAUUUUCCUAUGGUUAAUUUGAAAUUCACCGGUUCUACCUAUUCCUCUUAUUUGUGUAUAAAUGUGUUACUAACAAAAUUUUCUUUGCAGAAGACAUCCAGUUUUCUCCAUACCUAGUGAUGCGAUAUCUACUUGUUUUCUUAUCAGUGAGCACUCAAUAUGCCCGAGAAGCAAGACUAUCUCUUAUCAUCUAUUAAGGAAGCGAGACUAUCCCUGAUCACGUUUCCGCUACAUCAGGGAAUUGUGAAGGCGACCUUAUGCUCUAAUCUCCUGAGAUCCUUCUAGACUAGGAGAAAUGAGAGUUUGUUGUCUGCUCCCACCAGCUUCCUUCCCUGAUUGCUUACCUUAUCUUGCAAUCAAUAUCACAAUUUUUUUUUUUGCAUUUUUUCUCUUUUGUAACUCUCUGUUCAUAAGGGAUUUUAUUUCUUUAGAACGAACAUCCGAAGAAAGAAUCCAUGCAGUGAUCCUAACUCUAAGGGUUAUUUGUUUUUGACAGAGAGAAGAAUUGUGAUUUUUGCCCUUGCAGGAUAUAACUAGAUCAUCAAGCGCUACAUUAUAUUUACUGCGCCGAUACGAGCUUGAAUGAUACUUGAGAAAAGUUUCUCCCACCUAAGGAUGUAAGCAAUACUUGUGUUAUUUUAUGCUUAUAUACUUAUUUGAUAUUUUAUCUUGAAAGGUAACCAAAUGGGGAGAUAAGUCCGUUCCAAAAGAAUGGCUUGUAUGUAUCCAUGAAUUAUUAACGCAAAUUUUACAGAUUGCAAGUUGGAUACAUUGAUAAUACACUGCACAGAUUAAAGUCCCAUAAAAUAUAACAUGGGUAUAGCAGUGAUCAAUAUGAUGCACGCCUGUUGCGUAGCAAAUGAUGUGGAUUAAAGUCCCGAAAGGACAAUCCUUUGACAUGUCAAUAUUGAUAUUGUGCACGCCUAAUGCGUAGAAAAUUGUAUGGGUUAAAGUCCCAGAAAUUAAUUGACAUGUAUGUAUUAAUCUGUGGCAUGCCUGCAGCAUGACAGAUGUAUGAGUUCUAAAUGUUCCAACUCCCUAAAUGGAGAUUAUCCACGCCCUACUGUAAAAUAACGCUCUAUUGGAGGUUAUAAUCCACAUUCUCACAUAAUAAAAGCCCCCUGAAGUGGCUUGGGUACCCAAAGGCAAAGAAAUGCUUAUAAUUGAUGCAUGUGCAUGCGCAUGAGAAUGGUGGGAUCUUGAAUUGAUGAAUGACAAUUUUUGGUUUUGGAGUAGCUACUCAAAUCAUCAAUGGGCUGUGUUGAUUGGAACUACGUUCAGUUAUUAAAUGUCGACAAUAUCAUUGGCCAAAAUGGAAUGAGGCAAUUCCAUUAUAGAUGAGAAUGAACGUGAAAGAACAAACCCACAGUACGAACCCUAAAAGAUGUUAAUAUUGAAAGUUAUCCUUGGGUGUUCGGAAUAAAAGGGAAUAUACCUACUUUGUAUGACACAAUGUUUAUGGCAGAAACAAGGAAUGUUGGGUUUUCUCCAUAUUUACAGAUUCAAUUGUGCCCCCUUAUUGCACAUUUACGGAGACCAACAUGUUAUCUUUAAGGGUUAUUAAAUGCAUGGAGCAUAUCACCAGAAGUGAUUCCCUAAAGAUGUAUAAAUAGCUGGGUUAAAGCUAUGUAUGUGUCAUAAAGUUUAAUCCCUUUAAACAAAAUCCUUGAAAGGAUUGAAAUUGCAUGAAGCAAGUCCCUGAAGGACAUGUGCCUGAAGCACAAAAUCUGUACUCAAUACUAAUGUGCAUAAAUUGCCUCAAUGAGUACAUUGAUUAUAAUAUGUUUGCAACACAUUAAAGCUUAUGAAGAGUUUAAGAAAUAUUUGUCUCGACCUAACGAUCGAGCGUUGUGCCAAUGAGAUUUUUUUUUGCUUAUACUAAGAAAGUAUUGAAGCACUUUUUUGAGGAUUAUCCGUUGGGCACUUAAAUGUUUUUCUGGAAGUAUACUAGACUGGAUAGAGCUCAGCUCCAUCACCACCACUUUGGGAUGAUGUGAGGCAUAUUUGAUGCUAUCUCCGCAUGACAUCAUAUACGGGUAUGUUCUUUUCGAGUAAACUUACUAAUAGCCCAAGUGUUAUUGGAUAUGCGGACUCUGGAAAUUUCUAUGGUCGCUUACUGGAAAAAGUUAGUCAUGAAGUUUUCAGGGGGAGAUAUUCAUCAGGAGGAGUGUGGUACUAUUAAUAACGACCUUCACACACUGUACUCUUUUUCCUUCGUCCAGGUUUUUAUCCCACUGGGUUUUUCCUGGCAAGGUUUUAACGAGGCAAUGUCGUACGCGUGUUAGUAUGCACAGAAUUUUUAUGUUACACAUGGUUAUGUACACUUUUUCCCUUCGACCAGUUUUUUGUCCCAUUGGGUUUUUACUGGCAAGGUUUUUAACGAGGCAUAUUCCAUACCAUUUGUGGUCUCCAAGGGGGAGUGUUGUAAAGUCAAGGAUGGAUCCCAAAAUGGUAGAGCCCACUACCUAAUUGAUUGAAGAACAUCAUGAUGAAAGUACUAUGGGAAGGCAUCAUUACACAUUCACGGGAAGCCAAGAAACUUUGCCUAUAAGUGGACUUCCUCCCUUCAUUGUAAUUGACUGAGAACAAACAUUCAAUGAAGAGAUCAGUUUCUAUGCUUUCUCUAUAUCUCCAUUCCCUCUCUACAAUUUCCUCUAGAUUUAUAACAGCUAAAAAAUAUUUGAUUUUUCCUUCCAUAUUCUCAGAUGGCUCGACAAAAAAAUAACCCAAACAAUUAGAUAUAAUGAAACUCACAAAAAAAAAAAGAAAAAAAGAAUACAACACCAGAUUUGUCCUUACAUGAGACUUUGAUGCUUAAAUCUAGUCCUAGGAUCUUUGUUACUAGCAUAUGAAGAAGGCUCCAUCGCAAGAACUCCUUUCAUCCUCUUCAUAAGAUCACACAUAGAGAAAGAGUGAGAGAGUGAAGUUGCAGAGAAGAAAAAAAAAAGGGCAAAGAGAGAGUGAAGUCGCAGAGAAGAAGAAGAAAAAAGAAGAAAAGAAAAGGGAACGAAAGAAAGGAAAGAAAAGGAAAGAGGGAUUGAGAGAGAGAGAAGUCGCAGAGAAGAAGAAGAAGAAGAAAUAAAAAAAAAAGAAAAUGGAGAGGAAGAAAAGAAAAAGAAAUGGGAAAGAGANNNNNNNNNNNNNNNNNNNNNNNNNNNNNNNNNNNNNNNNNNNNNNNNNNNNNNNNNNNNNNNNNNNNNNNNNNNNNNNNNNNNNNNNNNNNNNNNNNNNAUUAAAAAGAAAGAGAGAGAGAGAGAGAGAGAGAGAGAGAGAGAGAGAGAGAGAGAGAGAGAGAGAGAGAGAGAGAGAGAGAGAGAGAGAGAGAGAAUAAUGCUACUCUUACCACAUUUGUAUACCACAUCCUUAUACCAUCUUAUGUGGCAGCUGAGGUGGACAACCACGUCAAUUAAAAUUAUUUAAUAUGUUCUUUUAUGAUUUAUUCCAGUAUUUGUUUUUCUAAUUGUCUUAAUUGAAAUACACUUCAUUGAUUUAAUUGAUGUGGCAUAUAAUAUGGACAUGCCACAUCAUAUGGUAUAGAAAUGUGGGAUAUAAAUGUGGUAAGUGUAGCAUUACUCAAAGAAAAAGCUAACCAAAAAGAGAGCGGCUCCUUGGGAAGAAAAAAGAAAGGCAAAAAAAUAGAGAGAGUUUAAGUGGGAUUGGAAUGGGCUUUGAAAAUAAAAGGUAUAUGGGUUUUAAAGUUGGGCUUUUUAUUUGGGUUAAGUGGAAUUAGGCUUAAAUAUAAGAUAUUUUAAAAUAAAUAAAUAAAAAAUUAAUAUAACCGGUCCGGUCCAGUCUUGUAACAUGUAAAACCGGAACUGAAACCGGUUCAAACUGGUCUGGUCCGAUUCGGUGUCAAUUUGUUGACUUUUUUAGUCAACCGGUUUCUUUUCCGAUUUUUUCUAUUCGAUUCGGUUCGGUGUUCCGAUUUUUCGGUUCCAAUGCCCACCCCUAGUGCUCCGGGUUCUUUCCCAUAUUUUCCAUGCAACCCACCCUAAUCCCCACAUUUCUCGACUAAACAACCAAUUAAUCAUCCGCAAAAGCGAAAGAAAUUCAAGGAACAAAGAAUGUAUGUUAGUAUGAAAUUGUGUUGGCAUUUUUUAAAAUUUAGUAUUGGUUUGGAAGUGUCAUUUAGCUGUAGGGUUGAAGCAAAAUUGCUGUAUCUGAUUUCCAGAAACUGCAGGAUUGAAACAGUUCAGCAAUCUCCGAAUUCCAGAAUUGUGACUUAACACGCAUGAGAUAUUUGAUCUGAAGGGUAAGACAUGUCAUUUUUUAUGCACAUGAUAGGAACGUUUUUUGGAAUCUAAUAUGAUUUUAUUUUCUUGAUCUUCCUUGGUUUUAAUAAAUUAGAAUCCAUUUAGGAGUGCAUCUCAUUUAGGCAUAUUUUGCAAUAUCUUUUUACUUAUUUUUUCUUUCUCUUAUCCACGAUUUGUUACUUAUCUUUUAAAGUAAUUUACUUGCAAAUCAAGUUUUAAUCAGAUCACAUUAUUAAAGGUGUUGAGAUAUUCUUGGUAGUUGACCUAAGAAUAUUAAGACUCCUUUAAUGGUGGGAUUAUCAUAAAUUUCCUUGGGUUUUUACUUUCCUAUUGUUUUGGGCUUCACAUGUGAUCAUGAUUAGAAUAGGGAAAUAUAUUUUUAUUUUAUUUUAUUCAAAUCGUGCAAAUCAAGUAAUUUGGUUUUCAACGUGUUUUCUUUCUUGUAAAGAAAAAGUCUAUAAAAUAAGACCUUUGUCUUCUUUGUUUGGAGAGCUUUCACGAUCAUAUUUUUAGUCCAUAAACUUUGGAAAGCUGAGUUUUUAUUUGAGAUAAAUCAUCAAGUGUUCCAUGUUUACUUGGUGAUUUAUCAAACACUUUUAUCAUUCAUACUACAUUCAUUUGCAUGUUCGGUGAUUCAUACAGUUAAGGGCACCAAGACCGUGGUUGUGGUUUCCCUCCGAUGAGUUUGAAGCAAUCGUGACCAGUAUUGCGUUCAACAUAAGGAGUGUCAAAGAUCAUCUCGUGACAAAAGUUGAGUUAUGAAGAAGUUGGUAAACAUUAUCUAGAAUGUUUCUAGGAUAAGUGUGUGAGUACUUGUAAUUAUCGUUCUAUAGUGGAUUUGUGUUGGACUGAGGAGUCCUGUGGAAUUUCCCCAGAGGUGGGUUUUAUCAAGUAAAAUAAUUUUCUGCGUGUUCUUUUAUUUUAUGCUCAGCAUGUUUUAGGAUUGAUAAAGGAAACUCCAACUCUAAUAACCUGAAUCCGAAUCCAAAUUCGUACUUCAGUUCCAACUCGCAACGGUUUUCACUAAACUUGAAGUCCAAGGUUGCGAUUAUCGUCCCCAACUUUAUCCUCAGCCACUGGUUAUGUGCAUUGAAAAUACCUGUAGGAUGACUAAGAAAAUCUAGAGGGGGUGAAUAAGCCUAUUUAAAAUCAUAAUCAAUAAAUAAAAAUAAGAGAGGAAGAUUCAGGAAAUGAGAGAAGCUUCUAGUUGUGGUGCGUCAGGGAAGGAGAGAAGCUUAUGGCUGGGGUGGGUGUUGGGUGGGAAAGCUGGUGGGUUUUUUUAUAAAAAUAUUUCUAUUUCAUAUUUCUAUUUUCUAAAUAUUUUAGAUAGUAAAAAAAUCAAAUAAUAACUCAGUUGGAUGACACAUGACUUUUUGGACAGAAAAGUGGAUGAAAUUUGAAAAAAUUAAUGAUAGGAGUGAAAUUGGUGGUAUUUUUUUUAAUGAGAUUUUCUAUUUAAACCCCGCACUUCUCUUUUUUCACCCCAAUAUUUAAAUUAUUAAACUGUCAGUUUUAUUAUUGUGUAAAAAGACAAAAAAGGCCAUUCAACUUAAUAUUUAAUUCUAGUACAUCUAUCUAUACACACACUCCACCACUCUUUAUAUUAAGUUUUAGAAAAAUACAAACUCAUCUACAUCUUAUUGCUAAUGGAGUCUAGUCUCGUAAAAAAGGGUCUUAACUUGCAUGUUAGUGGUCUGAGGUUUGAACCCUACCACACAUAUCUUUGUUUGAUUAGUUAACCUUUUUAAUCACAUGAUAAAAACAGCCUUGUGAAAACAACAAAAUCUCAUGUAUACUACAAAUAUUAUUUAAUGAUUUAAGUAUUAGAGUGGACAAAGAAAAGUAUGGGGUUUAAAUAGAAAAUUUCUUUUUAAUUCAGGAACUAAAAUCAGGAGGCAAAAUGGCUAAAAAUCCUUGGAAAAUAGCCCUAAAUGCCACCAUUUUUAUAAUUGUAAUUAAAAAUACCACCCCUUCCCAAUUUUUGUAUAACUAUCACCUAUAAAUAUAAAAUUAUUGUCCACUUAUUGCAGUUUUUUCACAAGUCCAGAAAUUUUGUUCUCUCUUAGCUCACACAGCUCUCUCUCCCUCUGGCACAGCUCUCUUUCUCUUUGGUAUCUGUCUAUCACAGCUCUCUGCGUCUCUCUUGGCUCUCUCUCUCUCUAGCACAACUCUCUGUCUCUCUGUUUGCUCUCUUUCUCAUAGCGCAGCUCUUUCUCUCUCUAGCUUCAUUAUGUCUGUUUCUCCCCUAUUCGAUCUCUUGCUCUCUGUUUGGAAUCGUGAACCCCUCCCUUUAGCUAUGUCUUCUGAAUAGUUGCUUGCAACCUUGAAGCUCUAGUGGAUUGCCGACCUCGAAAAGGUAGUGUUGAUGGUUAUUUUGUUAAUAUCAGUGGGAUUAUGUGAAAUGGGUUAUAGUUUGAUUGUUUGGGUUUAUGUUAAAUUCGUUUUGGCUUUAAUUUCUUUGGGUUUUUGUUAAUAUCAGUGGGAUUAUGUGAAAUGGGUUAUAGUUUGAUUGUUUGGGUUUGUGUUAAAUUAGUUUUGGCUUUAAUUUCUUUGGGUUAGGUUUUGUUGAAUAUUCAUGCUCAUUCAUCUGGGUUUGUACCAAUUGCAUUUAGAUUGGUCUGGAUAUGUGAAUCUUGAAACUUGGAAUUUUCCAUUUGAUGUAGUAGAUCUGUAUAGUGUGAUUCUGAUGUGUUACUGGUGUAGUGCUGUUGUGUUCCUCUUAUUUUACUGUUGUAUUGCUGUUAUAUUGACAUUAUAUUGCUUCUAUAUUGCUGUUAUAUUGUGGUUAUAUUGCUAUUGUAUGGUUAUUGUGGUUAUAUUGGGUUAAUGAAUGUUGUUUUGUCAUGGUCAGAAUGGAGACAAUUGUUAUCUCGUGUGCUACAAUGGAAAUGGGUCACCUCGAAGAGAUGUGCAAAUACGAAAGGGGUGACUCUAAAGGCUUAAUAGUUCCACGGACUAUCAAAUUUGCUGAACUGUUGGAUCGUGUGCAUCANNNNNNNNNNNNNNNNNNNNNNNNNNNNNNNNNNNNNNNNNNNNNNNNNNNNNNNNNNNNNNNNNNNNNNNNNNNNNNNNNNNNNNNNNNNNNNNNNNNNNNNNNNNNNNNNNNNNNNNNNNNNNNNNNNNNNNNNNNNNNNNNNNNNNNNNNNNNNNNNNNNNNNNNNNNNNNNNNNNNNNNNNNNNNNNNNNNNNNNNNNNNNNNNNNNNNNNNNNNNNNNNNNNNNNNNNNNNNNNNNNNNNNNNNNNNNNNNNNNNNNNNNNNNNNNNNNNNNNNNNNNNNNNNNNNNNNNNNNNNNNNNNNNNNNNNNNNNNNNNNNNNNNNNNNNNNNNNNNNNNNNNNNNNNNNNNNNNNNNNNNNNNNNNNNNNNNNNNNNNNNNNNNNNNNNNNNNNNNNNNNNNNNNNNNNNNNNNNNNNNNNNNNNNNNNNNNNNNNNNAUACAGCUACCCAGUGCCAUAAUGCGUUUAGGAGGAGAAUCUGAACCACUCGUCAACAUUAUUAGAGUCAAAUGGGUGAACAAAACCGGUACAAUGAAGCCGGUGUAAAUGAUGAAGAAGCAUAUUUGGACAGCGGGUUUUCACGAAGUGAUUGGAAUCCAAAAAUUUCAGUUGGGCAAAUUUUCUCUAGUAAGAAAGCAUUGUUGACGGAGUUACGGUUCAUGGCAUUAAGAGGCCACUUUGAAUUUAAGGUGCAAUUCUCUUGCACUAAGAGGUUGCUUGUGGUUUGUUGUCAACGUCCAUGCCCAUGGCGGGUCCAAGCAUCGAGAAUUGGAGAAUACAGCUUCAUGAUUGUGAGGUGUACAACUGUCCAUGAAUGUGAUUUGAGGUUCGUAAGUGACAAGCAUCGUCAAGCAACCGUAGCACUUGUAGCCACUUCACUUAAAAGGAAGUUGAAGGAUUCUCGAACAAUAUACACACCAAGUGACAUUAUGAGAGAUGUGAAACACAGCUUUGGUUGCACCAUCCAUUAUUCGAAAGCUUGGAAAGCAAGGGAGUUAGCUCUAUUGUCCAUUAGAGGAUCAGCGGAGGAGGCAUAUUAUAUCCUUCCAGCUUAUUGCUAUGAAUUGGAGCGUAUGAAUCCCGGCACAAAAACACACAUCCAAACUGAUGAGAACAAUCACUUUGUGUAUUUAUUUAUGGCAGUUGGCGCAUGUAUUAGAGGGUUCCGUUCUUCCAUGCGCCCAGUGAUAGUCGUGGAUGCCACUCAUUUAAAAUCCAAGUACAAGGGUGUGUUUGUAGCAAAUGCAUUCGAUGGUAAUCGAAAUAUAUAUCCUCUUGCUUUUGGGAUCGGGGAUUUGGAGACGGAUGCAUUAUGGCAUUGGUUUUUCACUAAACUUCAUGAAGCCAUUGGUGAGUGUCCCAAUCUUGUUAUUAUUUCUGAUCGCAAUGUUAGCAUAGAGAAUGUGUGGAACAAAAUUUUUCCAACUGCACAACAUGGCAUAUGCUUUUAUCAUAUGAAGGGGAACAUGAAACGCACUUGCAAGUUGAAAAAGCGUGAUCACAUACUUAUGCACUUUGAGCAGGCUGCGAAAUCUUAUUCCAUUGCUGAAUUUGAUUGUCAUUUUCGCAACAUCAAGCGAAAGGAACAUGUUGCUCAAUAUCUUGAAGAGGCAGGGUUACAUAAGUGGUCUAGAGCUCACAUGGAUGGACGCCGCUACAAUGUAAUGACAACAAAUAUUGCGGAAUCAAUCAACUCAGUCCUUAGGUUUGCAAGGAUGCUGCCAGUGGUUCAUUUGAUAGGGGAAAUUGUUAAUCUCCUUGUGAAAUGGUUCACCGAACGUCGUGAGUUGGCUUUGAAUUGCACAACAACAUUGUGCCCCAAUUUCGGAGAGAAGAAGUUGAGGAACAGGUUGGAGGAUGCUGCAAGGAUGAAUGUGGUUAAAUUAAAUAAUGCACAGUUUAAUGUUUUGGACGGUGAUAAGGACGGCUUCGUAGAUUUGACGAACAACAGUUGUAGUUGUAGAAAGUUUCUGCUUGAGCAGCUACCUUGCAAGCAUGUAGUUGCAGUUUGCCGCUUCUUGAAAGUAAAUGUAUACUCAAAGGCUUCUCGGUAUUACACUCAGAAAACCUGGAUGGAUGCUUAUUCGGAUAGCAUCUACCCGGUACAACCUCACGGAAUGUGGGAUAUUCCUGAAGAUGUUCGAAGUCGAGUUGUGCUGCCUCCCAUGGCAAGGGUCAUGCCAGGCAGACGAAAGAAGAUAAGAAUUCCCUCGCAAGGAGAGGGCACCAUUAGAAGAAAGUGCUCAAGGUGCGGUUCCGCAGGCCACAAUAAAAGCACCUGUAAAAACAAUAUUCCAUUGCGCAAUGUAUCUUAGACAAUAUGAUUUGUGUUGCUUUGGUAGGUCAUGUAAACUCUACUUUUAUUCGUGGUGGGUUUCGUGUUAUGUUGAAUGGGAAUUCUUUUAAAUUUGCAUAAUUUCGGUUGCAUUGCUACAGCAUGUUGUAUUGCUGACAGAUUGCUAUUAUAUUGUACGUUUAUUGUACUGGUAUUGCUUCCAGAUUGCUAUUAUAAUUUGAGUGCGAAAUUAAAGGGACUGGAAUGUAAUUCCAAAUGGAUCCAAAACAUUAAAGUUCUUAGAAUUCCUUUAUUACACAGUUACUGUGAUACUCCGACUAUACCUUCUUUUCUGAUUACAAAUUCGGCCGAUGCAUAGGCCAGAUGUGGGGCAAAUACAAGGUGAAAUGUCCUGUGUGUUUGACUACAUAUACUUGUUGAAGGAGCAUUACGAAUGUCAACCUCAAUAGAUUGCUCAUGUCUUGCCAAGAACACCCUUGAAUUUAUGCAAUAUGCCCAAGCCAGUCCCAAAGCUGGACUCACCCGUCUGCCUGAUGUUCCAGGGACUCCAAGUUUCCCAACCUCACCCCAUUCACUCCAUCAUGUGGCCCAAUAAAAUCCACCACUUGGUUGGUCACAACCACUGCCAACCCAAAGUUAUUUGCUAAACCCUUCAAUGUUCCAGAUAUGUUGAAGAACAUUUCAGACCGCCGUUUCAAAUCUGCCGGUGUUGUCUGAUACUGUGAUCGGAACAAUGCAGCAAUGGAAUCAAUGACAAUGAGUUUCAUAGGUAGGCGGGUGUGAUCAAUGGCAAUAAAUGCUUCUAUGUCUCCAAGGACAUGGAUGAGUUGUUGAGCAUCAUGAGCACCAUGAACAUAUAUGUCUUCCAAUGGCUCCAACCUUAUUAAGUUGGGGUAUGAUGCAUGAUAAAGGUUGCCUAGUUAUUGCAAUCGACGAAAUGGGAAGCUGAAUUCUGUGAAUAUGUAGACGGAGGAGCCCCUUAGUCCGCCAUGUGAGGGUGGGAGCUGAGCUCGUACCGUGAGUUGGCGAAAAAGCUGUGUCUUCCCGGAACCACUCUCCCCUACUAAUUCUGUUAUGGAGUUGCAGGGUAUCCCACCCCCCAAGUAGUGAUCUAGUAUUGGGCAUCGAAUGGAUAAUUUAGGGGUUGAAAGAGGAAGGAGCAUGAGGUUUUGGGGUGUCAUAUUUGUGUAAUUUAAGGGGGGAUGUGAUGGUGCUACAAGGCAUGCAUUAUAUAUAUAUAUAUAGAGUUCAUUUUGAAGGUCUGUACUGUAGGCCAUAUGUCUUUUAAGGGAUGUAUAAUUCAUCCUUUUUCCAAGUUGUAAUUACUUUUUUGUUUAUUUAUUAGUAUUUUUUUGGACCAAUUAAUUUAAAAAACAUUCUGAUGCAGUACGUACUGUAAUGGGAUCAUAUUGUAACUCUAUCAUCACUCUAUUGUACUCUUAUUGACAUAAUAUUGCCAUUAUACGCAUGUUUAUUGUAUAGUUAUUGCUGCUAUAUCGCCACUGAACUAGACACCGAUAAACUGUAUACGCACAAAUACAAAAAGAGGCUUCAUCAUUCCAUAAAAUCCUAAUUCCAAACUUACAUAAUACAACAACAGGCCACCCCAUCAUUACAUAAUACAAAAAUAGGCCGCCUCAUAGUUUCAUUUCCCUGGUGUUGACAAAUUCGAAGUUGCAUAGUUUUCAAGUGCGGUGACCGCGACCCAUGAAAUUCAUGACCCCGGCCACAGUGAUGUUGGCCCAGGAUCCUGCCGGAUCCACUAUUUUUGCAAACUUACGAAAAAGUUCAAAUCCGCUUUCCACUUCUUCUUUCUUCAACUUGGCCAUUGCUUCUGAUUCCUUGAAUACCAUAAUUGCAGUGGCAGGGGCAAUUUCAAUUUUUGCUUUCAUUGCCUUUAUAUGUAGGAGAUGCAUGCGAGCAUGAUAACGAGAGCGAAUUGUGCGGUUUUUUAUGACACCCCAUCUACCUUGGCCCUCCACAAUUUUUCAAACUAUGUCUGCAUGAAGAUUUUUCCAAAACAUCGUAUUGCCUCGACAUUGCUACAUGCCAUGGACCAAGUCUGCAGGGAGUGAAUUAGGUGACUUGGCUUGUGUUUCAGUCUCCCCUCCUUCAGUAAUUGAAAGCGUUGGGUUUGGUGUGAGGUUAUGGUCCAUGGUCUUCGAUAUUUAUUGCAGCCUGGUGUACAACUUAAUUGGAAAAAAAGGGGACUAAAUGCGAUGUGAGUGAAAUCAGUGGGGAAGGUAAUGGCUGCAAGGAGUUAAUGUGAUGGAAAUUUUCAUUUCAAACAGCUGGGUUGAUUAAUAUAGGCAGGCUUUAAUGACCUGGAGUAACUCAGAGAGUUAUUGGCGGGAGGAUUAGGGGGAGUAAUUGGCGGGAGGGAUUGGCGGGAGUCUUAGGCGGGAUAGUAUUGGGCGGGAGUCUUAGGCGGGAUAGUAUUGGGCGGGAGUUAUUAGCCAGUUCACUGUAUGCCUUUUUGUAAUAUAGUUGUAUGUUGGACGUUCCGAACUUGGUCAUUUUCCCAUUAUUUAAUUCAAAUAAGGACUUGCCUAUUUGCCUAAUUGACCAACUCAUUCAAAUUGACCAAUAUGGUUAUUGUCUUAUUUCUCAUUUCAGCAAUCUCAAUUCGUUUCCAUUUUUCCAUUAUUCAUAUUUUCCUAUUUUCCAUGUGUCAUCCAAUUUUCCAAUUUUCCAAUUUCUCUUUAUUUUUGCCUAUUUUUGCCUAUUCCCUAUUUUCCUAUUGUGCAAUUUCCCAAGUUUCCUUUUGUUAUAUUUCCAGUUUUCUAAUUUUUCAAUGUUCCCAUUUUCCCAUUAUGUAAUUAAAAAAAGUUGCCUACUUUGCCUAAUUCAGAAAGUAAAUAAAAUUGUCCAAUAUGGUAAUUGUCUUAUUUCCCAUUUCCACAAUUUCAAUUCGGUUCCAAUUUUCUUAUUUUCCAUGUGUCCCUGUUUCCUAUUUCCAUUUUUCAAAUUCAGUUUUUGUCCAAUUAUCCAAUUUUCUUUUUUCCAAUUGGACUAUUUUCUAAGUUUCUUUCUUUUUCCUUUUUCCAAUUUUCCAAUUUUUCAAUUUGCUAACUUUCCUUUUGUUCUAUUUCCAAUUUUGCUAUUUUCCAAGUUGCCUUAUUUCCUAGUUUGCAAUUAUCUAGUUAUCCAAUAUUCCAAAUUUUCAAUUAUCCAAUUUGCGAAUUUGCCUAUUUUUCUAGUGUCCUUUUUUCCUAUUUCCUAUUUAGAAUUUUCCAAUUUUCUUCUUUUCAGAGUUUUCAUUUCUUCCUUUUUCCUAUUUUCCUAUUUUCCAAGUUUCCUUUUGUCCAAUUUCCAAUUUUCCAAUUUUCCAAGUUGCUUUAUUUUCCAAUUACCCAAAUUUACAAUUUUCCAAGUGUCCUUUUUUCCUUUUUCCUAUUUUCCUAUUUUCCAAUUUUCUCCAAUUUUCCAACUGUCAUUUUAUCCUAUUUCCUAGUUUCCUCUUUCCAAUUUUUCCUUUUUUCCUAUGUCCAAUUUUCCAAGUUUCCAUUUUUUCGUUUUUCCGAUUUUCCGAUUUUCCAAUUUUCCUUUUGUUCUAUUUCCAAUUUUCCAAGUUUCCUUAUUUCCCAUUUUCCAAGUUUUCACUUUUCCAAUUGUCCAAUUGUCCAAUUUUCCAUUUUUCCAAUUUCGGUAAUUUCCAAUUUUCUUUUGUGAAAUUCGCAAUAAAUGCUUACUGACAUAGUCCUAUUUUGGGUUGAAAUCCACAAUUUACAAUGUCCCAUUAAGGUUUGCUUUUUUGUCGUUUGGAAGCCAAUUUUUUUGUUGUUAAUGUAAUGUUGUACUGCUGUCAAUUGCAGCCAAGGAGUUAAUGGUGUAGUUUGCAAUCCCAUCAAUUGAAUGCACCAACUAAACACGCAAUAUACUUCAUAGUAGUUCGUACAUAUAACUGAACCUUCCUAUAUAGAACUGCAACAGAGGCACCUUCUUAAUGGGAAAGGUAAUUAGUCUUAGUGCAGCACAAAUAUUCUCCACUAAAGCUAACCAUGUUGUCGUUUACAACUGGAGACUGAAUGUAGCUUUAUUUGUUUUGUUACAAGCAACAGCUGUGAAUUGUCCCCAGCAAUACUUAAAGAUGUCGGAUGUACGCCCUCCAAAUGAGCAUGUCAGUUACCCGGGGGACCAGCCGUGGCAUGUGCCAUUCCCAUCUCCACCUCGGACUCCCAAUCAUGAUCCCACUUCAUCUGGAAGUGAGGCUGAGAUCAAUGAUCCGCUUGACCAAAUCUCUACCGUCAAGCACCAACUCCAAUAUAUGUCAAAGGCAACGGAUUGGUGGGAGAGUAAGUGCGAUAUUCAUGGCCAAGUUAUGGGAAACUUGGCGAACAAGUUGAACAAAGCAUACUCAGGAGAGGUGAAGCAAACUCUAAAAGCAAAAAGUCGGAGCAAAGAGUUAGAGUCGUUGAAGUUGAAAUUGGAAGAGAGAAAGAAAAAUGCCGUUGAAAAAUUCACACAAUCUGAAGAAUAUAACCAUGAAAUGGUUGAAUGUUUCAACAACGGCUUCGAAAUGUUCCUAGAUUAUGCUUCGGUCAUCUCACCAGACUACAAUUAGAGUGAAAUUGAUAUAGCUGGUGUCUGGCAGGUGCUGAAUAUGGGUGCUGAGGGAAUGGCUCAUCAUAGCCUCGUGCAUGCAGCGAGGAGAAAGGACAAAGACAUGGAUCUUUUGAUGGACCUGUAGUAACGGUGAGUGCUGCUUCAGUUCAUCUCAACUGAGUACAUGGAUCUUUUGUUGCCUUCAUUUUCCCUUCGCGGGAUAGUAUUGUUAAGGUUCGGUGGCGAUUUCUUUUGCAUGGGUGAAAUGUUGUCUGUAAUGUGUAUGUAUUGUAUGUAGAUUGACUUAAUAUUGUAGUUCUAUUGCAUGUAUAUUGCCUUCAUAUUGCCUAUAUUGUGUGUAGAUAGUGUAUGCAUAUUGCUAUUGUAUCUAUAGUGGAAUACUAUUGCUAUCGUAUUGCCCUGAUAUUGCUCUAAUAUUGCCUCUAUAGUGCACUUAUAUUGACCUAAUAUUGCUGUUAUAUCGUAUGUCAAUGGCAUGUGGUCUAAUAAGUCUCCACUUCGUUUAAAGUAAUCCUGAAUUCAACUAUGACGGACACGACAAUUGUUAUCCAUCCUUAUAUUACCAUGAAUUGAUGUGGACCUUUCAAAUGAUAGCUGGAGUUGCACAUGGAAUCAUAUUCAAAAGGAAAGUAAUUCUCUCCCUCAAUUAAUUGUCCUUCAAACGAAGGCAGCUAUCAAAUAUUGGGUACAAAAAUGUAACAUCCACGGUAAAUGAAUUGGCCACAAACCACAUAUUACGAAACCAGGAUGAUUUUUGGCAUACUUCAAAAGAGAAGGGCCAAAUACAACAGAAAAUAAAAUCCAUUCUAGCAUGUACAAUGGAAUGCACAAUAACCCUGUUACAUGUCCUUCCAACACCAGUGUUUUGCCUACUUUAGAGUCGCAGGAGGAGAGCAUAUUGCCAUUGUGCAAUUCGAGGGGCCAGUCAAUUUGGAAUGGUGGCAUAAACAUGUUUACUCCACGGAUCACCUCUAUGGGACAGAGCUUCCUUCUUCCCUUGUCGUCUGUAGGUUUGAACUUCGCACUUUUUAUGUACAUGUAUCAGAACUUGUGGCUAUUUCUUUAUGGCCUUCUAACACUUGUUCUGCCAUUCCAAAGUGGGUUGGAGAUUUUUUGACCUGAAUGACUGAAAAGACUUCAGAUGACAGAAACUAGAGAUUUUGAAGAAAAAGGGUUAUCAAGAACAUAAGUCAUGCCCACAAAAUAAACCAAACAUGCUAUAAGCUCCACAGUAAUUUUUACUUCAUCUCCAUAAGCAGAAUAUGAGCGAAUAAAUACCACGGAGAAAUACGAGAAGUGAAAAACAACUCGGCAGUUACUGUGAGAUUGUGUACAUAAAACUUGGAACAACUAAACCAAUUAAAGCGAAGCCAUCUCAUACGUAUACCUACAUCAAAUAACAGUAUAUAGUCAUCUUGUUUAGAAUAUUGCAAUCAACACUUGGUUGACACCAGCAUGCAAAAACAACUAGGUUAAGUACAGAUGAAGCCAUUGAUGAAGGGCAGUUCCAGAAUUAAGACCUAUGGUAAUUUGUAACUGCCACCGAGUUAGUUCAUAGUGCCAAAUGCAUCUACCGGCCAUGCACAUAUGACCAGCGAAAAGUAAAAAAGAAAAAAGAGGCAUGCUAUCAAUAGGAACCUCAGCAGAAAUCAUCACAUAUGCAUACAAGCAGAUGGGCUCCAUUACAAUGUUCAAGAAUGAUGUAAAUACUAGAUAACAGAGUUCUUAUUCAAACCUCAGGAGGUUUGUUGGUUUCAUUCCUGGACCUUUAAUAUCGUCUUGCCCAAUAGCAUCAGUUGACUUAGUCAAAGUUCCAGACAAACACUCAACCAUUUCUUUUAGACCCUGCAAGAAAGUGGCAUGACUUAAAUUUAAUUUUUGGAUGGUGCGAUGAAUUCAGUUGGUUCUUUUUCUGAUAUGCAACAUAAUGAAACUACACCAAAGAUCAGGCAGAUCUGGGAGCAUCCAUGUAAUUAUAGAUGAUAAAAAAAAGCUAUACCUUUAACACGGAGUUAGCAACUUCUUUCACAAUUUUGUAUUCACCUUUACAUAAAUAAGUAGCAAUCAGGGCCUACAAACAAACACAUUUUAGCUGUGUAAAUUUGAUGUCAAAUGCAAAGACACACACUUCAUCACAAAACCCCAAUUUGCAGACAAAAAUCUGUGAAAUUUGUCCAGUCAAAAUAGGAAAAGAAUUCCACACUCGGGGUGAAGUAAAACUGAAAGUUAGACUUCACCCACUGAUUGAUCUGGAUCACCAAAUGGAAAUGAGUACAUACGAACUGCGAUGAAAAAAAUGAGAGAGAGCAUACCUGACCAGAUGCAGCCAUUGCAUUAGUUAGAAGGGAUACAGCCAACCAAAGUUGUAUACAUAUCUGAUGAGCAGCCAUAGCUACUAGACCUUGACGAGCAGCCAUUGAUGUUCCCAAUGUCAAGGUAGUAAGAACAGCAAGAAUUGUUCCAAGAAGAAAACCACCUGUAUCAUCCCAGAGUUGAAAACAUAAGCAAUUAGGGAAAGAACUUUGAAAAGGAAGACAAGAGAGAAUUAUCUCGAGGUUUAACUAGCAUCACAAAGACAAAAUGAAACAUUAAGACACACACUGUCCAGAUACAUGCACUGCUCAAUCAGAAAACGAAAAAAGUUAAAUAUUAUGAUAGUGUUGAUAGUCAAGCAAAUAAUUGAAGCAGAACACUUGAAAAAAAGGUCUUAUAUUUUCAGAUAUAUGAGAGGGUAAAAGUUUAAAAAAAGAAGAAAAGGAACUGAGCAGAUUUUAUGUAUCCACCAAAUUGCAAUGAUCCCACCUUUGGAGGCAAUAGUAUAGCUCUCUUAUUUAAAAACCAGAUCAUUAAAAAGGUGACAGUGUAUCUGAAAACAGAAAUUCCAAAAUAUGUUCAUUUGCGAAGUAAAGCAAAAAAGGAAUAUUAACAGAAACUGUUUUGAAAAUCACAUACUGAGAUAUAACAGUGGAAAGGGCUGCACCAGUUACACCCAAACCAAAAUAAUACAUAAGGAUGGGUAAUAAAAAUGCAGCUAGGAGAUUACCAAUACCUGCACAAAGCAAAAUACAUCAAUUAACCAGAUGGACCACUCAAGCUUAACUAAAGACAAAUAGAAACCAAGUAGUUGGGGACAAAGUUAUAAAAACAUUAUGCGAGAAUAACAGACCAGUAACACACACACACACACACACAUAGAGGUGUGUACAUGUGUGGUUGUAAGAAAAUGGUCUUAGUGAAAGAAACCGUUCUGCAGGAAUGCGCAUAGGUGAGUCCUGUGAUAUUCAAGAAAAAAGAAAAAUCUUGCUUAAAAUUCAAAGCCAAGAGCUUGAGAGAAGAAAAAACACAAAACAUAUGGCUCCCCCCACCCAGACCCACACAAAUUAAUAAAAUUACACGAAAGUUAUACUAUCGCCUGUUAAGUAACCACACAUACAGUAGACCUACAAAAUUAUAUAGUAAUUAUUCACAUAAAUAUGUAAACAUGUAUGUACACAGUACACGCAGAAAACAUAUGUUUGUAUGUUUAUGUAAACAAAGAUAACAACAGGCAGAUAACAAAUCAGUAUGAGCUGUAAUUUUAGAUCAGGGAACCUACCAUUGAUAUGGCCAUCAUAUUCAGAAACAAUCCAGAUCCCAAAGACAAGGCUACGGCCUCAAAAAUCCCAAUCCCCACUGAUAAUAGUAAAGCUGUGGACACUGAAGAUACCUGCUUUCUCUCAGUUACUCCAUCAGUACGUUCGGGUUUACCAUUAGUAAUGUCUCCUAGCCAACCAUUUUCUGUACAAUGAUUAGCCGAAUUUAGAUUACGAAUGGAGAAAUUUUAAGUCACCUAUGCUCUAAUUUAGACAUGAACCCUAACCAAAAUUGAUGUCCAACAGAGAUGAGCAAGUAAUUAAAAAAAGUUAAACUUCACCUGAAGUAGAAGCUAUACUUUCACUCUUUGCAAGAUCUUCAGCAACAAAAGAUGUAGCAACACUGAAGAGAGGGAUAUUAAAUAGCUUUGAUAUAUAAUUGAAGAUGUUCAUUGAAAUACCAGCUGCAGCCAACUCCACAGAACCUAUGGAAAAACAAAAAAGCCAAAAACAUUGAAUAAAAGCUCCAAAGUUCAAUGCAUUAUACAAAUAUUAGUCGUUCAACUCAUUUAAAGGAGUGAAAACAUACCCAAUCUACCAAUGUAAGCAGUCUCCAUUAGCUGUGCUAAGGGAUCAAUGGCCUGACCCAAAAUUGCAGGUAAAGAAAGCAUCAACAGCUCACGUUUGACAUCUGGACAAUAUGUUUGACUGAUAGGAAUGUUGCUCAACGAUAGACAGGUACUGAAGAAUCAUUUACCCAAAACAAGCAUAAAACAAUGUUUAAGAUAGGUAUCAAAUCUUGUAACCCCCAUCGCCUAAAACUAAUUAAGAGUAAUCAUAAGAAUUUCUGCCACUCACUGAAAUAGACAGGACCAAGAAUCUGUUAGCAAUGUUUCUCAUAUCAGCUUCACAAUGUUUAAGAUAGGUAUCAAAUCUUGUAACCCCCAUCAGCUUGCUUUCCCUUGUAAGAUCAAGAAGGACAAAGGAAGGGAGGGACUGGCUUUCAUCAACAGUAGAAAAACUCAUCCACAGCUAUCAUGCUCAUAUUAUCAUUCACUCUAACAAACCAGAGUUUUUACAAAAUGAUAAAUUUCUAACAAAUUUGAAAAAAUAUGAAUCUCUGUGCAAGGAAAAUGGGCAGUUCAGCGUAGGCAGAUCAGUAUUAAGUAGUUUACAGAAAUAUAACAGUCCAUUCCAGCACUAAGAUGCCUAUCUUGCCUAUCCUAUGUCCAAUUAUGAAGGGAAGAAAAAUUUAUCACAUAUUAGAAGAAAUCAUAUCAAACUAAUGAAAGUAAGAGCAUCAAUUAUUUACAACGAACUAAGUCAAAACUAAAUGGAGAAAUGUUAACAGAGUUGUAUGCUUUAGUAAGUCCAGUAACAGAUUCCCAAAACCACAGACAAAAAAUGUGAACAAUGGCUACAAAAGCAUCCAUAAAGAGCAACUAUAUUCAUAUAUGGAGGUGUACAAAAUAGUUAACCUUCAAAAUCGAAACAGUGUGUGUGCCAUGUCAGGCAAUUAGCCACUGCUUCUAGACUGUACAAUAUUACACCUCACCAUAAUAUCUAAACCAACUAGCUCUAGCAAAAAGGCAUGAUGACCAUAUGAAGUACCCCCACCAAAGCAUCUACGUCUGCAUGUUCAUAUGAAGGAGUUCCUGACAUAAGUUAUGAGCAAAGUGAAUUCCCAAGUCAUAAGUCCAUAGUGAGGUGAAUUCACGGACAUUAAGACAUUUACCUCAUAAAUAUGCCUCCCCCCUUAAACCCUCAAUUGCAAGCUUCAGUCGGUAAUAUUUGAUCUUCAAAGGGUCAACUUUAUCCACCGAAAUCCCAGCACUAAGAUGCUCGAUGAAUUUGACGGUCAUGAUUCCGCAAAACGUACUGUCAGGCCAAUAAGUUGGGAAAUUAGAACUGCAGUUAUGUAAAAUUUGGAUAAACUACACUAAAUUGACAAAGCUUACCCAUCUCGUUCUUGUGGAAGACCUGCAAUGCUGCAAACUGAGAAGGGCGUAAACCUCGACAUCUGCAGCCCCUUUUGCUUAACCUCUUCAACCUCAGAAUCUUCAUAAAAGUGCAUCUCGUACAGCACUCGUGCUAGCGUAUCGCUAAUAGGGUGCAGCAGUGUGACCAGCCUCGAAGAUUUGGUAUACGCAACAUAGGAGUCAUACACAGUUGCAGUAUGUCUGACGAAAUCAAUUUCGAUUGCAACCCAGUGGGACCCUCGAAGAUUAUAUAGAAAAUAGACCUUCCGGACUUUUGUCCAAGCUUGGCCAUACCCGUGCUGCCACGUACCGCGCACAUAGUGAUGUAUAUUCUUGAGCUUGUUAGGUGGAAGGUCAACGGUCUUUGAAGCAGCUGCCUUCUUCGCUCCACGUUUCUUCGCAGUCGGUUUCAACGGCUCUAGAAAUUGCUGCAUAAAUUGAAUUGGAGGCAUAUUAGAAAAUCACAACCGAAAGCAAAUGAACCAGUGAAUGUAACAUAGUAACAUGUUUACCUGCAAGCAAUAAUCUGCCGUUGUCCAGUCAGUUCCAAAUACCAACGGAUGAGAGAGUUGCCUUUUUCGGAUAAGAAAGGUUGCCAUGUCCAGGUGCUGAAAGUUGACAUAUAUACUAUGAGCAUAAUUUCAUACAACUUUACAAUUAAAAAAGGUGGGAAAAUAAUUGAAUUAUUGUAAUAAAGUAGAGCUUCGUGUAUUCUUACCCUUGAGCUAACCCAUUCCGUGUCAUCGAUAAGUUUGUAGAAAAAAUCUGCGCCCACUGAAAAUGAUUCCAGCUGCACCUCCGCACUACAAAAGGCAAACUUGCAACGAUUACUUUUGUACUCAUCUCAUAAUUCUGACAAAAAUACAUAAGUAUAUUAAAGCAAACUCUACAUUUUGUCAUUAGUCUAUGACUACAUACUAGAAUAGGAUGAAGAUUGGAUUUCAAAGGUAAAGAAUCCUAACCUGAUAUCGUUUUUCCAGGCAGUGCAAAACUCUAUUACUGCCUUCACAUCUUCAAUGGGCACGGUUUUGUUGGAUCAAAACAUGGCGAGGUUGCAAUCGCGGCAGACACACUCAUCAUCCUCUUCUUCCUCAAAGGAUCAGUAAAUGGGCUCAACAAUGUCUGCGCCGGGCGCUUCUGUCUGCACCCUUUACCUUCCACUUCCUUUUUUUCAACACUCGAACUCCCUUCUUCAUCACCAGCCAUACUAACUGUGGGUAGACUUGGAGGAUUCAUUGGACCUCCCGAUGGCAUACUCUGAGUCUUUUUCCAAUCUUGCAACAAAAACAACACUCUUUGGCAGAUUUCGUCACACCCACCCACAUCUUCCGGGGUAGGCAGCUUCUCGGAUUGUGCCUGCUCAGCUGCUUCAUGCAUUUCUAAGUCAGCAACUGAAGCAGUCAUUGCUGCCUCUUCGACUACCAUGGCUGCGGAAGGUUCGGCUCCAUCAGCGGGGACUUGUGUUUCCAUUACUGCGCGUUCUGUAGGCGGACUAACAUACUCAUGUGGAGGCGAGAAGUCAUCGGUUGCUCUUUCAUUCAUAUGAGGACUACCGAGGUCCUCAUGUCCUUCCCCACCUUCAUUCACCCCACGAUUUCGUAUUUUCAGUUGCUCUAUCUCCACCUUAAAAGAAUUCUCCAUUGAAGCCAGGGUGUUGCGGAAAUCCUCCACACACUUUUUAUUUUUUUCGAACUCUCUUUCAACUUUCAAUGACUUCUUCCGUACCAUGUCUUCCAACUGAUGCACUCUGUUGCGAAGCGCUCGAUUUGAUAUGGCAACUUUGGCCAAUUCAUCCUUUGUCCUUUGAAAGUCACGCUUCAAAGUACGUAACUCAGUGGACGCGACUGUACCCUGCAUUCAAUUAUAACGCAAGUGUUACAAUAUUUCGAAAUUAUAUUGCAACAAUACAACAGCUUUUUUCCUAUUGUAUUAUGACGUAUAUCUUGGAAACAAAAUUAAUGCUUGCCUUAGAAGACGACGGAAGGCUAGCAGUUUCGUCAAUGUCCUCAUCUUUUUCUUCUACAGAGGCUGAAGUGCCGGUUUUUUGUUCAGCGUCAUCGCCCAACAAGUCAACAAGUUCUUCAGUGGCGUCAGCACUGUCACCCCAAGUCCAAUACGGCUGCUGCUUGUCCAUUACAGAUGGCCGGAGAAGCUGCACAUCAACCUGCAAUUUACACAUACAAUAUACAUAUCAGUAAACUAAUUAUAUUAUAUUUUCAUAUCCCUAACAUUAUCAUUAAAAACUGAACUAACCUCACAGUUCUCGAAUUCUUGGCUCAUUAGCUCAUAAAAACGCGGCGAACUAUUGCUCCUCCAAUGUAGUAAAUGAGGGAUGUACGCAUUAUCUUCGUGCACCACCAAAUGUAGUGCAGCCAACGCUGGAAAUACCUUAUACGCCCAAAUCUGGUUUGAGGAAUAAAAGGUCAGUCAUUGUAAACAAAUGCAAUUUAACUUCAACAUCAAUGGACAUUUGCUCACCUGAAGUGCAUAGGCAAAACCUUUGAGGUGGUACUCUCUUGGUCUACCAGUUGCCGUUGUUGUUGGUUUCUUUCCAGAUUUUUUUUUUUUGCAGUUUUUGUGGGCACUUUCACUCGCUGGUAAUCUGCACAAAGUGCCCUUAGCAGUGACGCAUUUGUCUUCGCAUAACACACAGCACCCCAUGGAUACUUCCCAAAGUCUUCAAGGUCUUCCGCCAACUUCAAAUAUCACAUAACACACAGCACCCCAUGGAUACUUCCCAAAGUCUUCAAGGUCUUCCGCCAACUUCAAAUAUCGCAUGUCAAUGUGGACAUGUUUUUCAUUGCCCAACAGCACAAACACAGCAAAGUAUACGAAUCCGAGCUUCAAUACAUCGUCCACAUCAUCGCAUUUGAGAAAGGCCUUUUCUAAUUCCAACAGGUUCACAGUUUUAUCGUUGGCAAAGUACUUCCGUUUCAAUGAGCAGUUCUCAUUAGUGGGAAUCGGAAUAAAGGGAAGGUUUCCAAACCUUAGCCCUGUCACGAUGCAAAAUUGCUGCGCCGUGAAUUGGAUGACCUUAUUGCCAACAAUGAAUUUGAUCCCGUUCAGUUGGGAAACUGUCUUGGGAUCAGCUUUCCUGAGCAGCAAGCCGUGGAUAAUUGGAGAAGUCCACUUGAGGUCCUCAAUCCGUAGGAGAUGACCAAAACAACUCUGUUCAAACAUUUGCAGCUGCUGUUCAGUGAAUUUCUCCUUUAUCGUAGUGAUUGCGGUCUUCGUAUGGGAUAGCGACAAUGCUUUCCCUUGGAACUUUUGUUCCUCUGCAAUCAUCAACUUCAUUUGACCAACCAUAUUUCCUUGCAUGCCAAUAUUAUAAACAAACUUUCAGUCGGUUGCAAUCUAGACAAUAACAAGCAAUAAACAAUCACCACUUAUCAACAGCCUAUUUAGGAUAUGAAGUGAAAAAAAAAACAAAAAAUACAUAUCAUAAACAAAACCCCAGCUAUUUACAACUGACCUCCUAAUUUAAUGGCUCAAAGCCAAGUUUCAAGACACCCAGUACUCUACCACUCCUGCAUAAUAUAAUAUCUAAACACACAUCUCAACACACCAUAUAAUCACACCAUCUAAUCAUGAGACAGGUUCAACUAGAAUGGGAAUGUGCGGUAGCACAAGCCUAAUUGAGAACAAUUCAAGACUAACGAUACCAAUCUAUCUGACUAGAAAGAGUUUUAAAAAACAACAAGACAUUAGGAAACAAUUGAUUCACUUCAAGGUAUAAUGUAAUGGAACAUCCUAUGAAUUAGUGGCAACCACAAUACUGACUCUACUAUGGCCCUCCUUUCAAAUGUAAGAAAAUGAAAGAAAUUGGCACCAUCCCUUCAAUUUUUUCUUAACAAAAUAUCAAAGAUAAAUUCAUAAAUAAACCAUCAAAACUGUAUAAAAUGUUUGUAAGACAUGUACAAUUACAAAAUUAUAAGUUCUCCUCAGAAACAGAGUUCUCUAAGUAUCCAUACACAAACAAGAAAAGCAAAAGCUUAAACAGUUAGCUUAUAGCAAAAUCAAUGUCCCCAUUUCUCUAAACCACACCUGCUGGUGGUAGGUUCCCAUCUUCACUCAUUUCCCGCUUUCUUUUAAGCACACAAUGAUCAAGCACAAAACAGCAAACUUUUAAAGAACUCAUAUUACACCACAUAUGGUUCUAAAGAAAACUCAUCCAUAUCCAAUAUGCAAGCCCUAAACUUAGUAAACAGAGUUAUAAAAAAAUAUGUCGAAUUAACAAGCAUUAUUCUCAAACAAAAAGUAUGAUAUGGUUGGGAGUUUACAAGUUCAAAAUGAUAUACAUAGGUUAAUUGUCUUACACUUUAGAUAUCAUCUUCAACAAACAAAAUAGAUACCAAUUAGACUUGUAAGAAGGUUAAAUGCAAUGGUCAUAAAGACUCAUACUAAGCCACCAAAUACCAAUCAAUAACUGCUACAAAAACUAUAAUAAAAUCAUAAUAAAACUAAAAAUACAACAGCACUAAAAUGCCAACACAACAUCACUACAUUAGCAAUACACUAGCAAAAAAAUACAAUACGACAGCAAUAGCACCAGCAACACAACAGCAGUGCAAGCAUCAGUCCACAAAGAACAAACCCAUUCAUUGUUUGAAACAAGGAAUCAUCAUACUAAGAUCAUUUCAGAGAAACCCCAAAAUCAAUUUCGAUGAAACCCCUAAACCAAUUUCAGAGAAACCCCUAAACCUUCAACCAAUUUCGAAAAAACCCCUAAAUUAAUUUCAGUGAAACCCCUAAACCUUCAACCAAUUUUGAACAAAUCCCUCAACCAAUUUCAGAGAAAUGCAUAAAUCCUAAACCAACUUCAGAGAAACCCUUAAACUGUAAGAAAAUACCGAUGAACAGUACCUGUCGCUGGGAGAGGAAGAGAGAAGAGAGAGUCGGAGCUGAGCGACGAGAGAUUGAGAGCUGAGCAACCAGAGAUUGAGAGCUGAGCGACGAGAGAUGAGAGAGUCAGAGCAAAGCCACGGGAGAGUGAAGAGAAACAGAGCGGAGCCAAGAGAGAGAGCCGAGAGAGAACUUCAGCAAAACAGAGAGAAUAAAAUUUCAGCAAAAGUGAUAUGUGUGCAAUAAGGGGACAAUAAAUAUAUAUUUAUAGAUUAUAGUUCCAAAUUUUUUUUAAAAGGAUGAUAUUUUCAGUUACAAUUAUAAAAAUGGUGGCAUUUAGGGCUAUGGGAGCUGCUAGAAUGCAGAGGCUAUUAUGAGGAGGUUAUGUGCGGAAUGAUAACAACCAUCAAUUUUAAAUGAACGGUUCAGAUUUAAGUAGGAAGUUUUUUUACAAUCGGGUUAAAAUUACCCAUCACAAAAUGAGCAACCCGGAACUUCUCUCUCAUAUCUCCUAUUUUCUUUGAAACAGAGGUCCAAAGUCCUACGUCUAAAACUUCCUCUGGAGACAAACAAGAGCUGCCCCUUUCCAACUUCCAGAAGCUAAAUUUGCUGCUCCAAAAAGAAAAAAAACGAAGACACUCAGAUGUGGAGGACGUUGCUGAAGAAGAAGGAACAAGGGUUGAAACCCACAACUCAAUUCUUUCACUGGUAUGUGAUUUUUCAGCCCUAUUGCAAACCCUUUUAUUCAAAAAAUAUUCUGUUUUGUUAAACCCCUGUCAUUAAUGUUGCAGAAAAUGGUUCAUCAUUACCCAUUACAACAACUAUAACCUAAGAGCUCUCUUAUUCUGUCUUUGUGUCACAAAAAUUAUUUGCAAGAUCUUCAUAGUAGAGAGAAAAGAAGAAAAAGAGACACAUGAUAUGUUGAAAGAGCCUCCAGUAGUCUCUCACUCGCCUAACUUUGCACUCCGUUUAUGAACAAGUAAUACCCAAGUUUUGAAGAACUUGUAGUACUCUUCUUCAAUUCCAAUUGCGAUGGUAAGUCAAACACUGUAAAACCACUUCUCUUUGUUUCUUUGUUUCACUGAUUUUGCUUUUAAUGUUUUUCAAUUUCUUGUAAUCAUUAUUAUUUUUUGUUCUCUUUUGUAUUUAUAUUUUAUUUGAAAAAUUGAUUUUCACAGUUUUUAUUUUAUUUUCAUACGUAAAUAUUCUUUCUUGCGUUUAACCCCUUACUACUUUGGGUUUUAUUAUGAUGCCUUUAGUAUAUUGGCUUUAAGCUUUGUUGAAUCAAUAAUUAAUAAAUAAUGAAAAUAACAACACGUUUAUCUAAUGGUGAUCUUUAUGGGUCUUGCAUACAUACAGUAAAAACAAGUUCUCUACAAAUAUCUUGGGUUUGUCCUGCCUCAAUUUAUUUUAUGGCUUUUUAAUAAUUGAUAAUAUGCUACAGGUUGACACAAGUUUGCAUCUUAAUUUUCCAUAUAUGCUCUUAUGGAAAAGUUUAAUUGAAUCAACAUUGAGGAGACAUUAAACGAAAAGCAAAAAACAAAAGGAUCAAUUUUGCUCCAUAACAUAGGGGAGUUGCAUUCAAAUUCUUGGAUUUUUUGCUGGUAAGUUUUUUUUUUAAAAAAAUCAUUAUAAAUGUCUUUGUUUUCAAUUGAUGAUGGUACAAGAUUUAAAUUGCUUUCAUAAUUAUUUUGUUUUGUUUUAGCUAUUUCUAAAAUGUUUGAUUCAAAUGUUAUCUAAGGUAUCAAUAAUCUGUGUGAGUAAAAUGGUUGGGGACUCAGAGGAGAAUGAUGAUUGUGUAAUCGCUGAUGAAAUGAUUUACAUACCUGAAGUCAGAAAUGAGUAAAGACCAAAAGUUAGGAUGAAGUUCGAUUCACUUGAUUUCGUUUAUGAUUUCUACAAUAGAUAUGCUUUAUUGGCUGGCUUUAGUAUUCGACGUCAUUCCAGCGGGAGGGAAAAAUACAGUAAAGAAAUUCUAAGAAAAGAAUUUGUAUGUUGCAAACAAGGUGUGUUUAAAAAAGAAGAGCCUAGGGCGGUAAAAAGAUACCGAGGGAUAAGUAGAUGUGGUUGCAAGGCUAGGGUUGUUGUUGUGAAGGUUUCUGGGUGCAAGCAGUAUGCUUUCUCUCUCGUUGUAGAGGGACACAAUCAUACAAUGACACCCCCAAAAAGAGUGCAUUUUAUGAGAUCACAUCGUCAUAUUUCAGAACCUGCAAAGCUACUCACAAAACAACUUGGUUCAGCUGAUAUACCUACUCAUAAAAAGAUGAGUAUUUUGGAGGUGCAAUCUGGAGGAAUGGAGAAAAUUGGUUUUACCAAAAAGGACAUUUACAAUUUUGAAUAUUAUGAGAGUAGCCUGAUGAAGAACCAUGAUGUUGAACUGGUGACUGAGUAUUUUUUAGCUGAACAGAAAAACAAUAGAUCAUUUUAUUUCAAGAUUGAGGGAGAUUCCAAUGCAGGCUUACUCGAUGUUUUUGGGCAGAUGCAACUUCUAGACGAGCAUACGGGUUUUAUGGAGAUGUUGUCGUGCUCGAUACCACAUUCAACACGAACUGAUAUGGCUUGCCAUUUGCACCAAUGUUGGGGGUUAAUAACCAUGGUCAGACAAUUGUUUUAGCUUGUGCAUUUUUAAGUAAGGAAACGACUGAGUCAUUUAUUUGGAUGUUUGAGGAGUUUAAAAAAGCCAUGCCAGGUGGUGAGCCAAAAAUGAUAAUUACAGAUCAAGAUGCAGCUAUGGCUAGAGCAAUUUUUGAAGUAUUCCCCACUACAUUUCAUCGACUUUGCAUAUGGCACAUCACAACCAAGUUCUCUGAUAAACUACCACGAAUUGCUUAUGAGGAAUAUUGGAAAGAGUUUAAGGAAACCAUAUGGGAGAUUGACAAUAUAGAUGAAUUUGAAGAAAAGUGGCAUGCAAUCAUUACAAAAUCUGGUUUGACUGACCAUCCAUGGCUGAGUUCAGUUUUUGAUUUGCGAAAAUCAUGGGUUCCAGCCUAUGUAAAACAUAUUUUUGCCACUGGAAUGUCAAGCAGUCAAAGAGCAGAAGGCUCUCAUGCAUUUUUCAAGCAAUAUAUAUCAAGGAGAAAUUCAUUAAUGGAUUUCAUAACACAAUUUCAAAGGGCACUUUCUCAUCAACGUCAAAAAGAGUUACUUGCUGAUCACAUUGAUGCAUUCGAAAAGCCUCAAUGUGCUCUGUUGUUGACAAUGGAUAAACAAAUGGCUGAAAUAUACACAAAGGCAAUGUUCCAAAAGUUUGAACAGGAGCUAAUGCAAAGUUUACCGUGUUUUAUGGAAUUGAAAUUGGAUGAUGCUUCCAAAGCUAUCUAUAAAGUGAGUGAAAGGAAAAGGGGGAAAAUAAGAGUGACAGAAGUUGUAUAUGAUAAAUAUUCCGAUCAAUGGUCGUGUAGCUGUAAAGGAUUUGAAUUUAUUGGAAUUCUUUGUUGCCAUGCGCUGGCAUUGUUAAAAAGGGAGCAAAUUGAAUAUCUGCCCAAUAAAUACAUUUUGAAUAGAUGGAAGAAAACUGCAAAAUCUGGACUUGUGUCAGAUUCAAAUGGCAAUGAAAUUAAAGAUUGUGAGAACAAUUCUCUCCUAAUAAAGCGAAGUAGAAUGUCCAGACUUGCUUCAGAUGUAAUUGAGCAUGCCUUAAUGUCCGAAGAAGGUUGUGAGCUAUUGUCAAAUAAUCUAAACGAUACGCGGGUGAUGUUGAAGUUAUUGAAUGACGGGGUUGGUCCUAGCGAAGUUGGAGGGUCCAGCUCCCAAACACGAUAUUUGAAGGACCCUAAGAGAGUAACACACAAAGGAAGCUCAAAACGAGUGAAGGGAGCAAAGGAAACGAGAAUGGAGCGAGGGAUCCGACAUUAUCAGCAGUGUGGACAAACUAGUCAUGAUAUAAGACGAUGCCCAAGAAUGGCGAACACAUCGUAAGAUUGUACAAAUAUUUAUAAAUAAUAUCUAAAAUUGCAAGUGGUUUAUUUUAUUGUAAUAUUAUGCUUGGUGUUUAUGCAGGACAUCCCCGUCAAACAAUGAAGAAUCAACUCCAAUCAAUCUUAGUGACCCAUUAUUCGAUGAAUUUAAUAGCAUGCAUGGACCUACCAAGUGAUUUAUGUUUUUACUAUACGAAGCUCAUUUGCUGUCAAUAUUGGUGAGCAUUUUGAAACAUGAUUCAAUAUGAAGAAAUCUUAUUAUUUUGUGUUGUUUCGUUUUGUAUCAGCUUUUAUGUUUUUUUUCUUGAUUGGUUUUGGUUUUCUUUGAAGUUUUUUUGUUUCUCGAUUGGUGGUGUUAAUUUUUUGGAGCCUUUCUUUCUUGCUUUCUUUUGCCUUUGUAUUUUUCUGAUGUUAGGUGUUUUAGGAUUUUUCUUUCUUUUAAAUAAUCUCCCUCUUGAGAUAUUUGACAAUUCUUUUUUAUGGCAGUUGGACCUAGAUUUUUGGCUUAUGGAAGAUUGUUGUUGUUGAGAACCUUCAUUAAUUUGGCUUUUUUUUUUAAUGACAGUUGGACCUAUCAACUCUUAAUUUUGACAAUGCGAAUGAAAGGCUGUCACAUCCUUUUUUGAGAAAAGACGCUAUAUACAUUCGGUGUAUUUGCAUGUAUAUUGUUCGUCUAUUGCUUGUUAUUGCAAGCUUAUUUUCCAAGGUGCGACUCGCCACCUCCAUCGUUGGCCUCCAAAACGAAGCCAUAAUCGUGACUCUCCACCUUCGUCGUCGAUUUCCACCACAAACCUCAUCUUCGAUCUUCACUGUGGUGAGUUCUAAUAUUGGUUUUGCCUUCUUUUUUUUUUUUUUUUGGGUUUCUGUUAUUGAUUGAGAUUAUUGGGUGAUUACUUUCACUAUUUUGAAUGAGACAUUAACGGGUUUCUGUUGUGGUUUGUCUGUUGUUUCUGUGAUUGAAUGAAAUUUACCAACUAUUUCCUGUGGUUGUCAAGCUCUUGGACUUGGAUACACUGUUUUGUGCUUAUGAUUUGUCUAUGAAAUCAUGCAUACAUUGUUUUGUGAUUAAGGCUUGGACUUGCAGACCUCCUUGAAAGUGGUGUAUUCACUCUUUUGUGAUUGUGAUUUGUUUGUGAAAUCACUUAGGUGAUAUAUCAAAUUAGGACUUCUGGCUUUUCUGAGCAACCUGUAAGAAUACAUAUAAAAACUCAUAGAUGCUCUCUGAAAUAACAGUAAUGUAUGUUCUAACCUUUGAAACCAGUAGCACCAGCAACAAAUGCAAGAUUCUCAUUGUUUACUUCUUUUGAAUGUGAUUGGAGAGUUUGUAAGUUUUAUGAGAAUGCCAAUAUUUUAACAUACUUUUGAUACUGUAAAGUUGGCAUAUGUUGGAUCUUUAUUUUCUCUAAUGUUUUGGUGCAGUCUACAAUCCUCAAGGUUGGUAUCAUGCCAAGGUUGUGUUGGUGCCGUGAAAAGGGUUCUUGGAAAACUUGAAGGUUUGUUGAUAACUCUUGCAUUUAUCUAGUUCCAUUGUCUUGCUCUUCUUCUUCUCUGAGACUAUGCUUCUUUAACUGUUUGAACAAUGCCAAAUGCACUAUUGAUGAUUUCCUAAUUUGUAGACACACAUUCACUUCACCCAUGUUUAUUACUUUUGAAUUGCAAUUGAGUAGUAUGAAAUUGUGUGCAUGAAUAUGAACUUUAAUUUUGCAAUGGUACUGUCUUGUGAAAGUUUGCCAUAUGAAGAAUUGGGUCAUUUAGAAAAGCCAACAAUCUAUAUGAAUUUCGGUAUUGGUUUUUGUUUUGAAAUUGGUUUUAGUUGUGAUUGAAUGUUAUAUUUUUGUUUCCAUUGUGAUUGAAUGAUUUGCUUCUAAUAUGCAUUUUUGAUCCAUUUUAUACAGAUGGAAGAUUGUCUUGUUUCAAUUGGCGGCGUUCUUUUGGGGAGGAAAUUGCUAACUUUCAGCUUAAAUUCGGGUCUAAGAGGACAUGUCUUGGAAUUUUUCUUAUACAUAUGAAUUGUGUUAAAAUUCUAGACCAAGAGGAGAUGAAAUUUUUUUGUUUUUUGCCACUUUCUUAUGUAUAUCUUAAGAUGUAAUGAGAUAACAUUGUUAGUUCAUCAAUUUAUGAAAGUCAAGUUAGAAGGAAAUUUGGUAAUCUCUAGUUUCCAUGGUUUUAUCGUUCCCCUUGCAAAGAAGAAAAAAAUACAAAUGUAACCAAAUCAAUGAUUUAAUUGGCAAAUGCCAUGACUGAUAUGUAUUGCAUAUGUAUUGCACAUGUAUAGCUAUUUAUUGCUUGUGUAUUGGCCCCGUAUAUCUUUUUUUAAAAGUAUGUUGGAAUAAAUUUAUAGAGGGAGUAUGAAGUUUGUGUAUUGCCAUUGUAUAGCCUUUUAUUGCUUGUGUAUUGCUACUGUAUUGCCAUCGUAUAGCCUAUUAUUGCCUGUGUAUUGCCCCCGUAUAUCUUUUUUUUAAAGUCUUGGAAUAAAUUUAUAGGGGGAGUAUGAAGUUUGUGUAUUGCCAUUGUAUAGCAUUUUAUUGCUUGUGUAUUGCUACUGUAUUGCCAUUGUAUAGCCUUUUAUUGCUUGUGUAUUGCUAUUGUAUUGCCCCCAUAUAUAUAUAUAUAUAUAUAUAUAUUUUUUCAAGUCUGUUGGAAUAAAUUUAUAGGGGGGUUUGGAGUUUGUGUAUUGCCAUUGUAUAGCCCUUUAUUGCUUGUGUAUUGCUACUGUAUUGACCUCGUAUAUCCUUUUUUUUUUUCAAGUCUAUAUUGCGGGUAUGAAUGUGGGGAUGGGGGAAAAAAGCUUCACGGGGAUGGGGAUGGGAAUGGCAUACCCACCCCCGAUUUGACCCAUUGCCAUCCUACAAAGGCAAGAAGAAUGAGCUAUAUAUACACAUAAUGUAUAUAAUGUGCUCUCUUCAAUUAAUAAUAUAAAUAAAAGUAUUUUUCCAUUGCAUACACUUGCAAAUAUAUACAAACAACAUAUUCAAGACUGAAUAAUUACAUGGUCUGUCUGACACACAAAUAGUUCCUUAAUUACAUGUUUUUUUUUCCUUAUAACUAUAGUACACUUCUUGCAACAGAAUGGAAUGUUGUCCCACCCCAAAUUGAUGAAGGUUCUCAAUGACAACAAUCUUCUAGAAGCCAACAAUAAUCUUGCUCCAACUGUUAUGAAAAAAAAAUGUCAAUUAUCUCAAGACUUAAGAGUUAGGGUUUCAAAUCGCUAGAGACCAAACUUGUGGGAUAUAGGCCGUGACAUGAUCACGUACUCUACCAAUUGUUGCUUCACCUUCCCAAAUUCAUCCAUCAUCUUCCUCUACAACAGAAACAAAAUAAAGCAAUAUCAAUAUGUACAUAUAUAAAUAUGUAUAUACAGAGUAAUACAAAAGACAAAUUGGUACUAAUGAGGUAGAUCUUUGAUAUGCUCUAUUGGAACCAUCACUUUCCUUUUAUUGCUAUAUAUGCAGAUGCGCAAAAGCACAAACAAGCCCAAUUUAAAAUCUCCUACUUACGUAUCAAGAAAAGACUCAAAGCAGACUAAGUUUCUUAUAAAAAUAGAGUUCAUUGUUUUUCGUCUGUGCUUCAUUCGUAACUUAUAACACAUAUGGUAUCCAAAAUUUCACGCAGUGCAUCAAAACUCAAUCAAGUUAACUCUGGAACAAUGAGAGAACAACAAUAUUAAUCAAUGAAAGAAUUAUGAAAGAGGCUAUCAUUGAUCAACAACAUUAACUCCAGAACAUAGACACCACAGAGGUAUGCAGUACAAUUUACUUUCAUUCAAUUUCUAUACAAAAAUAAUCUUUUAGAUUGAUAUAGUCAUUCAUUGCAAACUGAAAUUUCACAGCCAUGAGAAUAAUGCCAAGAGGAAGAGUAUCAUAUCACCUCAAAAUUGGAAAACAUCUAAUGGACGAGGAAAAGCAAACCUACCAAGCACAAGACGAAAAGCCUUACUGCUCAAGCUUGAUCAGUGCAUAUCUACAUGGGCGUUAACCCCCGUAUGAUCAUAUUGCUUAUUUUUUCUAUUCUUGGCAUUGGCUUUGCACCAUUUAUGUUUUAACAGUACAUGAAUUGUUCCAAAUUAAAAACUUCAAACCGCAGGUCCUAAUUAUAGGCAGUAAAUUAUGACUUAAUAAAAAAUAGUCAUUGGAGUUGGAUCUAGGAAGCUGAAAGCAUCACAUGGCUCAAAGAAACCAAAUCAGGGGACCACGUACAACAGGGGCUGUUGUGCUAGCUAGUACUGCAGGGCAGGGUAGGGCAGAGCAAGGCAGGGCAGGGCAUGGCAAGGGACAUUUGGAUGCAAAUGCUAGAGAUAUAGACCCUUUCUUUUAGGUAAAUGAGGAAGACGAAGCAGCAACAAAACCUGGCCAUGUGAAGUAGCAGCAUCAGACCCUUUCUAUGUUUCUUUUGUUUGUUCACAUACUUUUUUGCCAUAUCAUGGCCCUUAGAAUUCUUGCAAAAUAAUAACAUGAACUUUAUUUCUCAAUUUCACAAUGACACAAACCAAUGUAGUAUUAACUUGUUCACAGCACAAGUUAAAUGGCGAUGUCGAAAUGAAAGAAACUCAAGGCAUGACACAAAAGUUGAAAAAUAAGAAAAUAAAUCUAAUAGAAUUCCAAAUAUCAAAUGACACAACCAAGUAUCCAUUCACUAUAAACUGACAUAAUAUGGCACCUGUGUAAGUCUUCAUGCAAAAACAGGGACAUUUCUCAAGCAUUGUUAAAAGGUAAUUAAACUAAUGUCAAUGGCGAUCUAACAAAACCAUUAUGCACUGUAAAGACAUCUUCGUAAACAAAUUAUAAUAAAACUCACAUGUGCUUCCUUCCAUUUAGAUGGGUUCAUUGGGUCCUCCUAGAAGUUCACCUUUAAGUAUAUACCAUGAGAAUUGUCCCAAUUGGUUUGUAUCUCAAAGAAAACCAUAGUGCGCCUCAUUAAGGUGAUUCAUCGAACACCUACAGGCCAUUUUUUCAUGCACUCAUCAACUCAGCCUAACCAAACAAAUAGAACCAUAUAUUCAGAACAAGCAAAUAAGCAUGAUAAAUAAAACGAUGUAGCAAGAAUUUGGAUUUUGAGCAACUUUCUAGACCACUAUAUGAAAUUGAAACAAUCAGAAGAAAACUCAAAUAACAUAUGGGUAUGAAAGUAAAGGCAAAAAGCUGAGUUGGGUACCUAGGGCGUCAUCUCUAGGUAUAUGGAUUUCAGGAAUGCUGAAGAAAUUGAGAAAUUUGUUGAACCGGAGGGGAAGAACGGCGGUUGAAAUAGGUGACAGAGAGUGAGAGAUGGAGGUAGAGAACAGCGGCCGAAAGAGAGAAGUGAGGUCGUCGUUGCUGAUGUGGGUUCUGAGGAGGUGACAGUUGAGUACUUCGAUUGUGAAUAGCAUUGCUCAACGGGUAAUGUCAACCCAGUUGUAGCAUAAAGACGAUACUAAUGUUAGCCAUUUGAUCAAUCUAAUGGCCUAGUAAGUAGUCCCCACAAAUAACCUCCGCAUAGAAUCUCCGCAUUAUAGUCUCGUGCUAGGGCUAUUUCCCAAAAUCGUUUCGGAAAUGUUUGAAAAGCCCAAAAGCCAGCCCAGUGAAAGCACACGUCACCCUCUCACUCUUCUCUCUCUCUCUCUCUCUCUCUCUCUCUCUCUCUCUCUCUCUCUCUCCCCGAAGAUUUCAGAAAAGGCCCGGCGACCCGGGUUUUUCCACCUUCACGAAAAAGCUUCGCCGCCACCUCCUCUACAAAACCCACCCCACCACCGGCCCGGAACACCACCACAGAAGGCUGCAGAACGAUCGAAAACAGGCGGAGUCGCGCCACCGUUGCCGCCGGUGUCGAGUUUGUUUCCGGCCAAUUUCGGUCACCUCUGUCCGCGAUCUAUCUUGCAAAAGGUAGAUCUCGUCCUCCUCUAUCGUUCCCUUAGAAGACCCGACCCAGGCAAGGUGAUUUAAUUCAUAACUUAGGCCUUUAAUUGUUGAUUAGUAUAGUUUUAGUCUAUUCCAUAUCCAGUUCAAAAUUUUCAUCCCACUGUUUAAAGUUUUCUGCUUUGUUUGACCGUGUGGUAGUCCGAGCUUUAUCACAUUUUGCUUUCUUGAGUCUCUAAGUAGUUUAGAAAACACGCUAGCAAGGAGAAAUCUGGUAAUUGUUGUUCUGUUUCCAUUCUUUUGCUUGUAGCAGAUUAUCCCAUCAAUGAUGCUCAUCAGAGUUGUAGGUGCUCUUUCUUUUAUGCUUUUUCCCCUUGUAUAUAUAUCUUGAUUGGCUCACUCCCAAUCCAGGUUUUGAUUAAAAUGAAUGCCUGUUUCCACUGAGGACGUUAGUUGGAUUGAUUUGGAUUUGGAUUUGGAGAUCAUAAAUCUGAAUCUUGUGGUUGGACUCAAAUCUUAACAAGAGGAUUUGCAUUUGCCCAAGAAUUUGAAUUCCUAAAUUAAAUUAGGAAUUUUACAUGUAAAACCUCUUUCUCUCUCUCUCUCUCUCUCUCUCUCUCUCCCCACCACUGAUUGUGUUUUGUUGCAAAUUGUAACAGUUGUGUGUAUUGAAUACCUGGAUACAUAAUCAUAGAAGAAUUGUCAGAAGGAUUCUUGGAUUGCAAUGGCAGCUUCUGCAAAGACUCUAACUGCUGAAAGCCAUACUUUAAAUGGAGACUGGACAGUUGUUUCAUCUCGUCGUGGAAGACAAAGAAGAAAUCCUCCAAAAAUUACAAUUCGAGUACAGAAGCAACCAUCGCAUUGGGCUCCAACUGAUCUCGAAAUCAAUUUUGCCCGAGAAUCAAAAUUGAUGCAGAAGAUGCAGAUCUGUAUGAAGAAAUUGGAGAUGUCUCAAUUCUUUCUUAAUUUACUGGAUGAAAUCCAAACUCCAGAAAUGAUGAAUUACUUCCAUAGGGUUUUGAGCUCGGAGUUGAAGAUGAAGAUGGUUAUAUAUGGCAUAGGCAGCAUCGAAUCGUAUGAAUCCCCUCGGUUGCAGUUGAGCCUUGCCAUCUUGCUGAAGAGAAAGUUCAAUUGGAUUGGAGAUAUAGAGGUCUUUGAUCCCAUUCUUUCUGCCACAGAAUCUCGAGUUUUGGAAGCUCUCGAAUGCUGUGUGUUAUCAAUAAAUGAACAAGGUCGACGUCAGGCUGAGAAACCUACAAUGUUCUUCAUGCCACAUUGCGAGGCAGAGCUAUAUGAUAAUCUUCUACAAGCAAAUUGGGAAGCACGGCUUUUGAAUUGUACAGUAUUGUUUGGGAAUAGCUUUGAGACAUAUGAGCAGCAUCUAUCAGAGUAUAAAAACUCAGCUAUUGUUGAUUCGACAAGGCAUAUCUUAGCUGUUCGAAAAUUCACAGAUGAGUUUAGGAUUAAGACAAUUUCAGAUACUUAUUUCAGUGCCUUUCAUGAUUCGAGUUGGCAUUUUUUCAGGCCUGUCCUUGAGACAGAGCUGCAGUUGAGCUAUUUGUAAUUGUGAGUUGUUGAGAAAUUUCGUGAUGAUUGAAACGUAUUAUCACUUUUAGUACCCCAUGUCCUAUUGCAAAAGUUUCAAGUGUUGGUAUUAUCAGUGCCUUUCAGAAAUUUCCUGAUGUUUCAAGUGUUGGUAUUAUUGAUUCCUAUUAACCAAAAGCCAUAGGAUCAAAACCCACAGAAAGCCAAGAAUGUUACAACAAUGAAAAACAAGCUACAAGAAAAACAAGACAGAGCAUUAAAAGGAUCGGAGGGGGUGGGGAAGGUGAUGAACAAAAAAAUAUACAGAGACAGACCCAAUACUAAAGUCUCUAAUUAAGGCCAAACUGAGUCGACAGAAACCCUAGACUCUAGCUGCUGCAGAAGAUCUUCCACAGCUACCAUCACCUCAUUUUCUUGUGCUUGGCCAUUGCAUUUGUAGUUGCUUCCAUUUCUGGUCAGUGGGUUUAUGGCAGUAGAAGAAUUAGAACAAGAAGAAGGAGGAAGUGUUGCCCACCACAAAUUACUUGGAUCUGUGUUAUGGGGCCGACCUCCAAGUACAGACAAGAGAAGAACAAGAGAAGCCAUAGAAAUUUUGAUGGAAUUGAGAGAGAAAGAAGAAGGCAAGGCAAUUGAUGCAGUUGAAGUUGAAGUUGAAGAUAGCGAGAUGACUUGUUUUGGGUUUUAUAUAAACUAGUAUGCCGGGGUGGCGGGGGGCGCAUGAGAAGAAGGUGAAGCAAAGUGAUUUAAGGAGCCCACUGCUUUUGUUGUUAGAUUAGACCCAAUGUUUGUUUGUUCGACAGGAAGAGGAGAAAACAAGGGAUGCCCACUUCCCCAAAGACACUUAGUUUUCAGGUGACUGAAUGCUAGCCAUCGAUGAGUGGAGCCCACGGAGAUCAAAGGCCGGCAUUCAACCAUUAUGAUAGCGUCUAAUUUUUCAACAGCUGGUGGUGGAUAGUUGGUUGCUGUAUUUAAUUUUGGGUUUUUGUUGUUGAACUAGAUGGUAUCCAACCGUUGCGGCUAGUGGGACUACUUGUAUUCAAUGUGCGUUUUUUAUUGUUGUCGCCAACCCGUCACCCACUAUAUUUAAAAAUAUAAAAUAAAUAAAAAUAGAAGUGCAAUUACAAGAGGAUCUUCUACCGAUGAUAUAUUACCAUACAUGUCAAAUUUUAAUGAGGAAUUUAGUCAUUUACUUAUUUUUAGUAUUAAUAAUAUAAAUAAAUUUUAUAUUAUUAACCUAAAAAAUAACAGCCAGUCUUUAUUGAAUUUAAUUUUGAUUAUUAAAUUACUUUGAUGCCCUAUUGAGUGUUUUGGGCUUUUUUUUAUGAGGUUUUGGGGUUGGGUUUGUUAUAAGAAAUCAAUGGCAAUUUUGUAAUUUAAAAGAAGUUAAAAGCUUUUUUGUUAAGUUGUAUAUGAGUUUUGAGUGUGUUUCUAAAGUCCAUUUCAUAUAUGAUUUUUUUUAUAAUUUGGACUCCUAUAUUGGGUAUAAUAGUGAAUCUCCCAAUUUUAAUAUAAUCAAAUACAAAAAUGAUUAUACUAGUGUCCAAUGGAGAGCUUGCAACAGUUUUCAUUUUCUUCUAUUCUAAAUCUUAGGGCUCGUUUAGAAAUGAUUAUGGAUAGACCAGAAUCACUUCUAGGAAAAAGCACAUUUCAUGUGUUUUUUCAUAAAAUCAUUUAAAACAAUUUAAAGUGAUUAUAUAGAGAAGAGAUUCUUCGUAAAAGUGUUUUUUGGCCCAUUUAGAAUUAAUCUCAAACGAUCUCUUAGUCCAUGACUUGGAAUAAAGGGAAAUGACUUUUUACUCGCAAUAAAACUCUAGAGCAUUACUUACGAAAUCAAUAUCCAUUUAUAAGUGGUGUCAUGUGAUUUCAAUUCGGUGAAUCUCAGCCUUGUGGUUAUGUUUGGUAUCAAUUCUAAGUCAUAUUUCGUGGAUCCUUGGCCUCUACAUUUAGGGACACAAACACCGUUUCUCAGCUCCGGUGUGACUUGUGGGGAGGAAGGAAUCAGCUUCGUGCAGUGACUGAUGGCUUAAAUAAUCUAACUUAAGGGCAUCUGUUGUUGAAAGAGCCCUGAAAUCCAGUCCUUUUGUCCUCUGUUUCAAUCAACUUCUCCCUUAAACCAUCUGGAAGAUAAGCCAAAGCACUUCUGCAUGUGGGUUGGUUGAAGAUACACCAAAAUGGGGAAUGAGAAAUACAAUAAAUAUAAGAUUUCCAAAUAAUAUAAAGAUCUGCAAGUGAAAAAUUACUGUAAUAUAAUUCGUCUCUUUACUUUUUUUUGCUUUUUACCUUGCGACAAGGCCCCAGUUGAACCCAAGCAGCACCGAUUGCCUAAAGCCAAUAUUAAAUCCCUCUUGUGAAGAAGCUUCUUUUCCCGCUAUAAAGCCAUCACCAGUGAACCAUCUACAUAUUUAUAUCAACAGUCAAAGGAUAGAUAAGAGAGCCACUUGAAUUCAAUUAUGCAUGGAAAACAACUAAACACAGACAAGACAAUGACGAAAGUGAGUCUCAAGUGUACAACCACCGUGUGGAAUUGGUGAUGCAUCUUCUGCCACUACCUGCCCAAAGUACAUGCUUCAACUCAUCGUUGGAAGCAUCCCAAGAUCCAUCCUCAUGACACAAAGCAAUCAAUCCUAUCAUGCUCUGCAACAAAACGUUAAACAGAUUUCUUACUACAGAAAGCAGCAAAACCACAGCAGCUAUAAAAUGCCAGAAGAAUUAACUGGUGGACAGGAUAUAAACUUGAAACACAAGCAGAAUCGUUGAACGAACAAUACUAAAACAAGAUUUAUUGCAGCUCAUCAACAUUUUUAUUGUGUCCGUCUUUUUUCUUUUUAAUUCCCAGAUUUACAUAACUUGGCAAAACACUUGAAAUAUCCAUUUUCACAUCCUUGACUACUGUAGGGCCUCCUUUUCCCACCAUAUUAAUUUGAAUGAUGUUCGAAUGUGAGCAUCCAACUCAAACCAAAUUGGCAAUGGGUGAGGAGGCCCAAGAUCAAUUAUACUCUUAUGAAUUUGCACUUCAAAGAACUUAAACAAUGUCACACAUGCUUCAGCUACCAAAGUUUAUAGCUGUUACAAAUAUAACCACAAAUUAAGAGAGCUUCACCAAGGGUAUCGAAGUAAUGCUAGUUUUGCGAAACAAUCACAUCAAAAUAUUCUGAAAAGAAUUAAAAAAAAAAAAAAUUACAUUGAUGUUACAGAAACAAAGAAGAUGUUACGUUCUCUUGAUUUACCAAAAAAUUAUAUAAAACAAAUAAAUAACAGAGAAGAAAACAAAGAUAUUUGAGAUGAACAUAAAGAUAAGGAUGUCAGAGAUGAAUACAAAGAUAUCACCAUAAGAAUUCAAACUCUCACUAUCUUAUCAAGUGAAGGGAAAAGCAGAUCUUACCAUAUUGUUGGAUGCUUAGUAACACGAAAGUUGAUCAAUUGGAGCAAUUGAGUGCUGUACCAACCGCACAGCAGACCCAUAAUAGGCAGGUAGCCCAGUCCGCCAUAAUAUGAAAUUCAGAAAAUAGGCAUGAUAACAAUGAAUUGUGACAGAACUCUUUGGGCUUUAUUUUCUUUUUCGUUUCCAGGAAUGAAGAAAAGUAUUUAUCAAAUUUUAUAGAGGAAAAUAUUGGGGUGCAUUUAGAAAACAAUAUUGUAGGCAAAUCACCCGAGAGCUGCAUCUUCCAACAUAUCAAUGUCGUACAAUGAGGUUAGUUCUGUUUCACCAUGUUCUUCACAAAUAUCGUGAUCACAAGCAUCUUCGACAUAUCCGGAUUGCUUCAUCUGUUCAAUGAGCAACUUCAAUAGAUAAUGUAUUUCCUUGCAUUGAGGAUGCCUUUUAUCUUUCACCAUGAAAACAUGCACACGACCCUGUAUCUCAAUCCAACUGCAACCUGGCUGCUUGAUAACUCCCCGUUGCCUCAUCAGCUUUCUUACUGUUACAACAUCACCCCAUCUCCCGAGCUCGGCGUACAUGUUUGAGAGAAGAACAUAAGGUCCAGAGUUCCUAGGUUCAAUAUCUAAGAUCUUCUCCGCCACAUACUUCCCUAAGGUAAUGUUACGAUGAACUUUACAAGCAGCAAGCAAAGACCCCCAUAUAACAGCAUCAGGUUGCAUUGGCAUGACCUCUAUUAAAUGUUUGGCUUCAUCAAGGCAACCAGCUCGACCAAGUAGAUCAACCAUACAUGUAUAAUGGUCCUUCAAUGGUACCAAACCAUGCUCUUCACUCAUAGAGUAAAAAUAUUCUUUUCCUUCAUCAACCAACCCUGCGUGGCUACAAGCGCAUAGAACACCAAUCAUAGUGACAUGGUCAGGUUGCUCCCCAGAUGCCAACAUUUUUCUAAAUAUUUCGAGAGCUUCAGUCCCAUAACCAUUUUGUGCAUACCCCACAAUCAUGGCAUUCCAGGAGACAUAAUCCCUUUCCAACAUACUUUUAAACACCCGACAUCCAUCUUCAAUGGAUCCACAUUUCAUGUACAUAUCUAUUAGAGAAUUUCCCACAAAAAUAUCAGGCUCUUCCCCAACCUGGAACUUAAAUCCGUGUUUCAAUAAGUGUACAUGAGCCUGCCUGCCAAGCUGCAGAUCAACUAGACUUGCACAAGCAUUGAGUAGAUUCCCAAAUGUAUAGUGGGUUGGCAAAACAGACUCCCUCUUCAGGAGGAGAAAGAGUCCAACAGCCUCUUCAUUUUCCCCAUUUUGUGUGUACCCUGAAAUAAGUGCAUUCCAAGAGACUAUAUUCCUUUCCAUCAUCUUUGCAAACAUCAAUCUUGCAGCUUUUACGCUUGCCGCUUUUGCAUAUCCACUUACCAUUGAUGUUUCGGAGACAACAUUUCUAACAGGCAUCCCAUCAAAAAUCCAUCUGGCUUGCUUUAAUCUAUUGCAUUUUGCAUACAUAUCAACCAACGCAUUGCCUAAAACAAGAUCAUCCCUGUAUUUGUCACAUUUUAUGACAUGAGCAUAUAUUUGCUGACCUUCCUUUAUUGCAGACAAGCUUGCACAUGCACUAACCACACUGGCUAAAGUUAACUCAUCUGGUUUGAACCCACCAUCCAUCAUCCUCACAAAAACUUCUAGGGCUUCACUCGCUGGACCAUUCUGCUCAUAACAAGUAAUCAAACUGUUCCAAGAAACUGUAUUCCGGUCACUCAUCCAAUCAAAAACUCUUUGUGCAGAAGCAACACUCCCACAUUUAGAGUACAUAUCAAUAAGUGCAGAUCCCAUAUAAACAUCUGACGAGUAACAUGACUUAGCAAUAAAAGCAUGAAUUUGGACACCCAUUUUCAACUUUCUCAAACCUGCACAAGCACUAAGAGCACUACCGAACGAGUAUUCAUUAAGCACAAAAUCCUCCACAUGCAAUUUGACAAAGUACUCCAAAGCUUCUUCAAAGCGAUCAUGCUGGGCAAACCCUGAUACCAUCGAAUUCCACGAGCACUGGUCAGGCUCAGGCAUUAACCUAAAAAUCUGCACAGCGUCAUCAAUAAAACCCAACUUCGUUAAUGUACUUAUGAUGGAGUUCCAAGUGAAAGUGUUCCUUUGAGGCAUUUUAUCAAACAAUUUACGUGCAUCGUCCAAACAACCACAUUUUCCAUAAGCAUCAAUAAGCCUAUUCUGGAUAAAAAUCUCUGAGGAAAAUUGGGUUUUGAUGACACGAGCGUGGAUGCGAUGUGCAUCGCGUGCUGACUUGGUUCGAAUGCAUGAAUCCAAGAGCUUCGCAAAGGGUGUAGAGUCGAGGAAAGAGAGGUCACCCACAAGUUGUUUGAACAAUCCAUGUCUAGUUCCCAUUCCAUUAUCUUUGCUACAAUCAAUUAAGCAGCAUUGAAAUGAGAAUACAUGAAUCUAUGUCUCCUACAAGGUGGAAAGAAUAAAUGUAUCAAUGUCAUUUUAAAAUUAACUCAUGAAUGAAGAUUAGAAAGAUUAGAAAGAGUAUGCUAGAGGAAGCAAGAGAGCACAUGUCAUUGUAUUCUUAAUUAUUUGGGAGAAAUUUAAUCACUCAUGAACUGUAUGCUUGAUAUAUACUUGUUUUACUGAAAGUAUGAAAUAGUUGGGUUACAUUGGUUAGACAAAAAAAUGCAGAAGUUGCAAGAAAGAUGAAUGGCUCCAGAAUCAUCACCCAACCAAGACUUGCAGCAUAACAAGACAUAGUAAACACAGUAAGAGCUUAUCUCAUAUGGUAAUACAACUAUUAUGAGUAACUAAGAUAAGAACAUAGCAUAUGCCAAAAUAUUCGUUCGGUUUUUAAAUAUCAAGAUUGCUAAUAACCAUGAAAUUCUUCUCUUAUAUGGUCAAUAUGCAUUAAAAUAACAGCCCAAGUGAACUCAAAUAGGCGUAAAAGGGGACAUUUCCAUAUAAAUGAUUGGCCCUGCCCAAUGUUACAACAAGUUGAUCUUAUUAUUCUAAAAAAAAUCCAACAUAAAUGCAAGUUAGCUGUGAUCAUGAUACAACAAACAAAAGAUAACUGAACUAAUUCAACGAAGAAAUCUAUACAUCUGAUUCUUAGGAAACCACUGAAAUCCAGAAGCUCUGAUACCAUAUUAAAGUCCAACUACUAACAAAACCCGAAAAGGUUGUUCGAGAACAAACCAACACUAAUGGAACUGUGAGAGAUUAAGCUAAAGGCUCAAAUAGUAUUUAGUAUCAGCAGUGGAUUGGGCUUCCCUGCUCCUACUGACAACAACAAAUGUACGUCUGGUUUGCUGAACUUUAAGAGAAAUCCAACCCCCAUAAUUAAGACAACAUAGACAGAACGAACCACCAAUGACAGCCCCAAAUUUCAAACAGAAACUAACCCAGUUAAUGUUUCAGCUUCAGUAGACAAGGAUGAAAUUAUUAAACAGAAAAUUACAGUUCCAUUAAGUCCGGUGUUAGCUUGGGGAACCCAGUGAAUUAAUUAACUGAGAAAAAGAAACGACUUGAUUAACUGCAAUUGAAAGAGAAGCUGACCUAGGAUUUUUUAGUCAGUUGAGAACAAAUAGCAAUUACAGCGACUGCAAUUGAAUAUCCAAAUUCCAGGUUUCAGACGAAAACGACGACAUCACAGCGAGCUUACUUACUGGAGUUGGGACUUCCUUCUUCCUCCUAUCAGAGGAGGGAAGAACCAAUCCAAGGCACAGUUGUCUUAUUAAGUCCUUUUUAUUGGCGCAAAUUUGGGCCCAAACUGUACGCAAUGCAACAACACAAACCCUGGUUUGGUUAUUGUUACUGAAAUAUGGAUGGUGCCGUGACAGUUUGGGGCAUCCCAAAAAUGAGAAAUGACAUCGAGGAGAGAGAAGGAGGAAGCUCACCUGGUGAGAGAGCAGAGAGCAGAAUGAGAAUCAAAGAAUGGGAGCCCAAGGUUUAGACAGGGUUUAGGGAUGAAGCAAUUUCGCCUCACACCGAACAAACGACGGCGUACGACUUUGGUACACCGUCGGAUGGAAUUAACGGCUAAGAUUACUCCCCUCUUGCGCGCGCUUUCUCAACUCGCACCAUUUAUGAUUGUGCAACUUCAUCUCCAUAACCAUAGUUCGAUGUUGUUAUGUAUAUAUGAGUGGCUAGGAGGACAUGACGAAUCACAUAGUUUUUAUUGUAUAUAGCCAAAAUUUAUUCUAUAUUUUCACCAAUGUCAAUUUUUAUAAAAAUUUUCAAAUAUCACGAAAAAUUCUCUUACACAUGCACAACUGUAUACGUAUUGCGGCCAUGGUCAAACUACCGCAAAUGAUGUUCUUUGUUUCUUCUUUUCUUUGACAUUGUACAUUGUAGGAAGUAAGAAUUGACAUAUGCAUCAAUUAAUUUAGGUGCAUUUUGAUGGGGCGAUGGUGUUGAUUGAGACAGAACAAAGCAUAAGAUAUAAACAACAAAGGGUUAAUGACCUAAAUGGUCCUUCAACUAUUGCUCUAGUAUCAUUUUGGUCAACCAACUAAAAUUUUCAUUUGAAACGUCCUUAAACUUUUUAUUUUAUACCAAGAUGAUCCAUCCGUCAAAGUGUGUAUUAUUCCGUGAAAUCGAGGGACAAAAUCGUAUUUUUAGGUGAGUAUCCUCCUUUAAAAGGGUUAUUGAUCCCAAUGGUCCUCCAACUAUUGCUCCAGUAUCAUUUUGGUCCACCAACUAAAAUUUUCUUUGAACCGUCCUUUAACUCUUUUUUUUUUAUUUUUUUUAUAUCAAGAUUGUCCUACUGUUAAAGUCUGUCAAUUUUAUUGUUAAUUUGAGGGGUAAAAAUGUCUCUAUGAAAUAAAAUAGUAAUAUAUAAUUAAAAAUUAAAGGAAACUAUUAUAAAACUUAGAAAAUUUUAAAAAAUUGAAUCUCACAAGCCACAUGCCUUUUUUUUUUUUCCCUGUGAAACUGACCUAACAAUUAAUAAUACAAAAUUCUCUAUUGUUUAAAUUAAUUAAAAUUACAUAAAUUUAAAAAUAAAAUAACAAAUUUUUUAAAAGAGCAAACAAUAAUUAAAAAUUAAAGAAAACUAUUAUAGAAACUUGUACUUAAUUUUAAAAUUGAAAAAAUUGAAUUUCACCACCAACAUGGCUUUUUUUUGCUAACAUGGACUUAAAAAGUACUAGUUUUUUUCUCUCAAUUAAUUAAAAAUUUUAAAAUAAAAUAAAUACAAAAAUAAAUAAAUAUAAAAUUGACGAACUUUGACGGUAGGACCAUUUUGAUACCAAAAAAAAGAAAAGGAAGAACGGUUCAAAUGAAAAUAUUAGUUGGUGGUCCAAAAUGAUAUUGAAGCAAUAGUUGAUGGACCAUUUCAGUUAUUAAUCCUUUUUAAAAAUAAUAUUUCACUUUUUUGCCCUUCAAUUUAACGAAAUAUUUGACAGACUUUGACGGUAGGACCAUCUUGAUACAAAAAUAAAGAGUUAAAGGACGGUUCAAAUAAAAAUUUUAAUUUGUAGACCAAAAUGAUAUUGGAGCAAUAGUUGAGGUAACAUUGAAAUCAAUAAUCCAAACAACAAACCACUUGAAUACUAAGACAGAGAUAACAUUAAGCAUUUAUCCUUAUUCAUAUGAAAGUCGGUCAGAGGUUUCACAUUAAUAUUCAGUGCCUGCUUAGAAACAUUUUACAUAGAGCUACUACUAGCAACAGCAUUCAGCAUUCAACAGCCUGCUUAGAACAAGCCUUUUCUUUUCUUGAAAAGUAAAAUAGAAUGUUGGGCGUAAACGGAGAGGAAAUACGACUUGAGCAUGCUCUCAUCUCAUGGCGCCCCAAACACCUACAAGGCAAAUUUUAAAAAACACAAAUAUAAUUAGAUAGAGAUUAACAAAUUCAUUAAGCAAUGACAAAGAAAAUCAAAUUCAUAGAUCUCACUCUUUUUUUUUAUAAAAAAAGAUAUUCCACUUUAAUCUAAUCUAAAUUACGCAGAAAGUGAUGCGAAUUUGGGUGCAGAAGCACAUCUGCUUUAGCCAACCCUCUCUCGUACAUUUAUUUAAUUUAUGCAAAAAUAAUUUAUUAAAAUUAUAAAAUAAAUAUUUCUGCAUAAAAUAUCAGAUCAUCAAAAGUUGAUGAAACAAAAUGCACAGGAAGAUGAUGGAUUACCAGAAUAUUAUAAAUUAGUCGCUGUCGCUGCUGCUGCUGUCAUGGCCAUCCUUCUUCUUGUCCUUCUUCUUCUUCUUCUUCUUGUCGUCUUUGUCUUUCUCUUUGUGAUCGCCGUCUUUCUUGUGGUGUUCGUCUUUCUUGUCCUUGUGGUGUUCGUCUUUCUUGUCCUUGUGGUGCUCACCUUCCUUCUUGUGCUCCUCGUCUUUCUUGUGCUCGUUACCUCCUCCUCCUAUGUGGAGGGCGUCUCCAAUCUUGUGAACGAUUCCUGCCAUUGUUACUCUCUUUCUCUCUCUAGAAAAUAUAAAUGGAUUUUGAUCUUUUGUGAAGGGAGAGACGUGAAGAUGCCUUUUUAUAAGGGAAACACACAAAACCUUUCAUUUUCCUUUUAUUUUAUUUUAUUUUUUAUUAUAAGGGCCUAUUUGGUACAACGAAGCACGUUUCUUACGACGUUUGGUAGAAAAAUUUGAAAUUGCCUUUGUAGAAGCACCUUGAGUGCUUUUUUAGGAAUUACUCCCAAAUGUUUUUUUUUAAAGGCAUUCUAAUAGAAGCGUAUAUAAAAAUAAAAAUAAAAGCGCUUAUGAGUAGAAUCGCUUUUAUCCAAUUUGAGCGUUGGGCGGUGUAACUGGUUUGACUGAAAUUACAAAAAUGCCCACGGCCAAUUAGGUCCAUACAACGUUUGAAAAUGCGAUAUUAAAGUAAGAGAAAAGAAGAGGUUUGUCUCAGUCUCCAUCACCCGAUAUGCCACAUCUUUCGGAUGUCGGUAAGAUCGUCUUAACUUAAACUAAUUAUAUAUGACUAUUCUUUUUGUUCCCCGUUGGCCAUGUUUUGUCCAUAAUCCAUCAGCCGUGCCAAUUAGGUAUUUGACUCUAGGCCGUGAGUAUACGGUGUCAACGCCAUAGCUUAUGAAGAAUCAUUUAAACAAAAUGACUAAUGCAACAAGCUAUUAAUAAAGACAACAGAUGUCGAAUGGGAUCAAGACGACCUGCCCUAUUAUCAUGUGUAGGAGGAGAACAACUUCCCUCAAUCUGGUAUGUUCGUUGGAGGUUUUUUCGUGUACGAAGGAAUCGAGUCAUCAACCUAUCUUAAUUCUAACUUAUUAACUUGUCUUAUUUCGCUCCAAUUAUUGAAACUUUUUAUUUUCUAUGUUCCCGUCUUUAAACAAAAGCUAUUUAAUAUCUGAAAAUGACUUACAUUAUCUUUGAAAUAUGGUGUUCCUUGCGUUGAAUUAUGUUUGCACCCAAUACUCUAUCGUUUCGGGACUUGUAAGUCACAAGUUUUGAAUUUGGCAUUUGGUAAUUAGAAUUCAAGUGAACACGGUGUUAGCAUAAAACAACAUUUCAAAGCAGUGAAUUUGAAGGUGAAAAAGAAUCGUAGAUUGGGAAAAGCAAAAGCUCUACAAAAAGAUUUUGCCAACACUUUGGAUAAGCAAGAAUCUUUCUGACAUUUUGCUAUCAUAACUUUCAACAACGAUCCUUAAAUAACGCUACUGAAACUUGCGUCCACCCACCAAUAGCAUUAAUCUCAUGAUUUUCACCAGGUAUGAAUCUAUGUUCCAGUGUUUGACACGUGUACGGUGAAUAACUUGCCGACAUUUCAAGUAGCCUUAUCCUGUUGUAAGAAACAUGAUAACUCUAUGUAACCAUCACUUUGGCCCACUGUAUCAAUGUUGUCUUUAUCAUCAAACUUUUUCAGAUAUCCUAUCCUAUCUUAUCUUCAAUGAAAAUGAAAGUUUUUAAUUUUUUUUUUUCUUUCUUGUUCUAGAUACAGACCCAGUAAUUUUAUCUUCUUUUUUGUUUGACUCUUCUGUUUAAUCAAUAAGAUGGCUGAUAGUCUUUCUUCUUCUGAUGUUCUGUUUUUCUCUAAGAAAGUUUUAACCAGGUGGUUUCCGUUAACAUGCUAAUUCUUACCAAUGCAAUAUCAUAUUUUCUAUAAAUAAAUAAAAAAGGACAAACAGAAUUAAGCGAGCAGAAGUGAUGCAUUGAUUAUCAUUGUGUCAAAUUAUGUUAACCUUUCUAUUGAUUUGAAGCGUAAAUUAAUAAUUUUAUUUCUCAAUUAAAAAGUAAAAUCAAAAGUGAAAAAUGAAUUAAGUACGGUAAUGAUCCUUGAACUUGAAUCUGAGUUUGACUUUUUCUUUUGGGCCUCCAAUUCAAUUAUUGAGGUGUCAGUGAAAUUUUACGGUGCCUCAGAGGUGCAGUGGAGGGGAGAUAUGUAGAGCAGUGGAUGAUCAUGUAGAUGCGGUGUAGAUGUGCGGGGUAGCAUGGGCAAAAUUUCCACUUCCUUGAUUUUUCAUUCUUAAAUCUUGUUUUAUACUUUUUUAUUCUAAUUUGUUAUUAAUGCAAGGUAGAAUUACUAAUUUACCCCUGUAAUUGACAAAAUGUUAAGGAAUUUAUAAUCGGAAAGCGAUACACACAUAAAAGUACGAGGACUACAGUUAAAUUCAAGAACUGUAUUGUAGGAUGAAAGUGAGGAUCGGGUACAGAUUCAGUGACCGUUGUCAUAAUUUACCCUUUCAUCUUUAUCAACUACUAGACAUUUAUCACCAAAAGAAUUGAAUUUCUAGGAUUUAUGUACAAACCACAUCAUUUGAUCACUAGGGUGGUGGCCUCAACCCAGAAAUUGGACAAUGGGAGACAAAGGAUGGCAUAAAUAGGUUAUACACAAACAGAAUUACAAACCUCCACAGGAUCCACAAUAGCAACACUCAGUGUCAUCUCAUUGCUCCGAGUAAAUUGGCACCGUCAAGCUUUGCACCUUCCAAAUGCUGUUCAAAACAUAAAAAGAAGAGUCACAUCCUCAAUUUCUUGCCUUGAAAGAUACAACUAUCAACUAUCAACUAAGCUAUCAAGAAAAGAUCUUGGCCUUCUCAACGCUACAAUGGACCUUAAGAUUACGCACAUGUAAAAAUAUAUCUACAAUUUGAGAGUUGAGACGAACAAAAGGAAAGCUAUAAGCCCAGGCAUUCCUUGGUUUUGAAAACAAUAACCAAAAGAAAAAUCACAGAAUGCUGAUCAGCUUUCAUUACCGUAUCUCGAAGAUUCACUUGUCGUAAAUAAGCUCGUUGAAGGUUUGCAUCCUUCAAAUUGGUAUUGCUCAACUUGGCACCCUAUCACACAAAAAAUUCAGCCAAACAAAUCAAUUAUGAGAGCGGUAGGGAGCAGAUUCUUUUAAGAUUCAUUUAUGAAAACAUAAUGUGAUAUAAGAUGAAACUACAGAUUUUUUUUCUUCGAUAUUCAUUUUAGGUAUGGGGUAUUUCUCCAUAACAACCUCUUAUACCAGCUUAUAUGAUUGUCAUAUAUAUGAACAUUCUUAAUCACGGAAUUAAUGUUUCAAAAAAUCAUGCUGAGUUCUUUCUUUCAACAUUAAAUCAAAUAACAUAAAAGAAAUGUGUGCCUCUCACAUGCAAUUAUACACAAAUAUGAUAUAUAUAUAUAUAUAUAUAUAUAGGGAGGAAGAACAAGAACAAAAGUUGGCUCCGUAAACUAAAAGAUAGGUGCCAUAAACAUAUUUCAAUAUGUGAACUCAAUUUAUUUUAUGUCAGCCACAUGAAUACAUUUUUUCAAUUGAGCCAUUUCUUAAAUAUUUCAUUUUAACUUGUCUUUGUUCGCCACUUGUACCCACCCCUGCCCCAUGUACACUCCCUAAUUAAUUUAAAUUGCACUUAAUGAUAUAUUACUCAGGAACCAUUUAUUAACGAUAAGUCCAUCUCACGGAAGCAUCGAGGAAUAAAUCUGGCACAGCUUCUAAGCAAGAGACAUGCAGCACCAAAUUGUUAACUGACUCUUCCUACUCAUGCAACAUCAAUAAAACAAAACUUGUUGCCUACAGCAUGUAGGAAAAAAUAUAUACAAUAUAGUACAUACUAAACCCUAAACUAUUUUCAGAAUUCAUUAAAAGAAAAAUACUAUUUUCAGAGAGAUAUCUGAACAAAGAAACCUACAACAAACAAAGAAAACCUAGAAAAACCAAAAUUCAGAGACUCAGACGAAGAACAAUUUGAAGCUCAAGGACUUUGGGUCAGCAGAGUAGUUUAGUUAGGGAGAGUCCAUAUUUCAAUAUUUCCAAAAGAAGCAACAUCAAUAAAUUCGAAAAAAACAAAAUCAUAGAAAUAUAUAAACAUUAUUAGAGCCAAAUCAAAAGCUGAAUAAACCAAAGAAGAGAGAGAGAAAAAAAAUAUUAGUAAUUGAAGUAUUAAAGUAUUAAAAUAUUUGGCUGUAGAUAUGGGCUGCUUUCUAGAAGAAGUGGUGGGCUAUUAUUUAAUUUUUCUAGAUUGAGCUUACACAACUAAGCCUAAUUUGUCUCUCUCCAAAGUCAACACUGGGCUAAGACAAGCAUGGAUCCGUCCUUGCUCAACAGGGUAUCAAAGUAAUUUAAUAAUCAAAAUUAAAUUCAAUAGGGCCAGAUGUCCUUUUUUGGGUUUGUUUAUAGAAAAUAAAUGGUGUAGGGUUUAUCUAUAUCACUAGUGCUAAGAAUGGUAUUCUUCUUGAAUGUCCCUUCCCUAGUUUGGUUAUAUGUAGGGAAUCAGAAGCAAAAGAUUAUUACAAAGUACAAAAAAUGGGUCCCCAAUCUACCCAUUAAUUGUUUGAUAGAAAAAUGCAGGUCCAUAGAUAAGGAUCCUUCCAUAAAGGUGAAACAAACAAGGGAAUGGAAGAAUCAUUUUUACAUUUCUAUCCCCUUCCCUCUAUUAUCUCAGAGCAAACGAAGCUUUAGAAAAAGGCAAAAAAUGUUUUGGUAGAAAAUGAAAACUAUUCUAAUGGUACUCUUCUCCAAAAAAGGGAGAGCAAAGAUAUCUCCCCUUAUGUUGCAAUGUAUUAGCAAGCCGAUGGAGCUACGUGGUUCAGAAAACUUAGAAUUAUGACAAUUCAUAAGCUUCUUUAGAAGUCAAACAGGAUAAUUGAACUCUCAAAAUCAAUUUAUAGGAACGCUUUUAAUCUCUUAAGCAUAAGAGACAUAUUUCAGACAACGUGUUUUUGUUUGGCACAUAAACUCCACUUUACCUUCAAAUUUGCUCCUUCCAGAAUAGCUCCCUCUAAAUUGGCAUUUGUAAGAUCAGCAUUCUGAAAAAAUAAGAGAAAUAAGUAACAUAUUAUUACCCUCCCUAAGUACCAAAUCCUAAGGCAUCUUGCACUCAUCAACAAACAAACGAUUGAAUGAUUAAUUGUAGUGCGAUCAGCAUGAAAAUCAGGAAAUUCUCUUUUUAUUAUUAUUAUUUUAAACUGAAGUCACACCAAAGAAAACAUUUGGCAACCUCCUAAUACAACAAUAUUGAAUUCAUAACAAUUAACAGAGAGAGCGAGAG
rnacentral:lncRNA from 1 species